rnacentral:lncRNA from 1 species
AAGAAGAAGAAGAAGAAGAAGAAGAAGAAGAAGAAGAAGAAGAAGAAGAAAUUUAUUUAUAAGCAUUUUGGAGUAAGUGCCAAAAUUAAUUAUCCUGCUUAUAUAUUUAAAAAAAAUUUUGACGGGUGGGGGGUGCCUCACUGGCUCAGUCAGUAGAGUGUGUAACUCUUUUCUAUUUAUUUUUUUAAGUUUAUUUAUUUUUGAGAGACAGAGAGUGCAAGCAGGGGAGGCGCAGAGAGAGAGGGAGACAGAGCAUCCAAAGUGGGCUCCAAGCUGACAGCAGAGAGCCUAACCCAGGGCUGGAGCUCAUGGACUGCAAGAUCAUGACUUGAGCUAAAGUCACAGAUGCUUACCCGACUGAGUCACCCAGGUUCCCUAAGCAUGCAAUUCUUGAUCUCAGAGUUGUAAAUUUAAGCCCCAUAUUGGGUGUAAAGAUUACUUAAAAGUAUGAUGUUAAAAUAUAUAUAUAUAUAUAUAUAUAUAUAUAUAUAUACACACACACACAUAUAUUUAUUUAUCAACAUAAGUUCCAGUUUUGUUUUCUUAUAUAUGCUAUUUUUAUUUUUAGAAAGAAUUUUAUCUUCAGAAAUUGUUGAAUACAUCGUUUUAUGUCCGUGAACAUAAUAAAACCAAUUUGAUGUCACAAAUAUAUCAACAUGUUGAACAAUUUUUAUUACUUUUAAUGCACCUUUGACUUUAAAAACUGUACUAGUUUGAAAAGAUAAAUCUCUGGAGCCUAGCUUUCUGGCCCUAACAUCUUGCUCUGAUCUCACUACCUCUGAGAAGUUAAAUACUUAUUUUAACUAUUUCAAUGGCCUCAAUUUCCUCAUUUAUAAAAAUGGAGAUAAUAAGAACACAAGUGUCCUGGGGGCAUGAGAAUUAAAUGAGUAACUAAUUGAAUGACGAUCAUCAGUCAUCAUCAUCACCAUCAUUGUCUUCUAAGAUUUUUGCCUAGGUAGCCUAGUUUUAUUCCCUGUUUAGAAUUACCAAAAUUCAGCAAAGUAUCUGAUAGGUAUUGCAAAAAAAGAGAAAGAGGGGAAAAAAGGAUGCUAAAUAAGGAGUAACAAGUUGUAGAUAAAAUAUGGAAAGAAUCAUUUGGUGAUUAUUAUAACAGGUGGGGUUUUUCAAAAAUAUGAGCACUUCUUAUUUAACAAUGAAUGUAUAGGGGCGCCUGGGUGGCUAGGUCAGUUAAGCGUCCAACUUCGGCUCAGGUCAUGAUCUCACGUUCCGUGAGUUCGAGCCCCGCGACGGGCUCUGGGCUGACAGCUCAGAGCCUGGAGCCUGUUUCAGAUUCUGUGUCUCCCUCUCUCUCUCUGCCCCUCCCCUGUUCAUGCUCUACCUUUCUCUGUCACAAAAAUAAAUAAACGUUAAAAAAAAAUGAUGAAUGUGUAAAUUUAGGAGCUAUUUUUUUCCUUAUGUGUGCCAAAUGCAUGUUUUUAAAUCAAAAUAUUAUGUAACUAUAAUAGAUACAUCCAAUGCUGUAAGAUAAUUCAGAUAUUUGAAGAACUACUUUAAAGUACUAUUUCUUAAAACAAGAAAAAGAAAAAUAGCAAAUCACACGUGGUACUUCAUAGUCUUUGCCUAAAGGAGGGUUGUUUGACUAACAGAGAUUUUGGGCGAUAGUUACUAUUAUGAAUAGUUGCUUCAUAAGAAGCAUAAGAUAUGGGAGUCAUAUUUCUUCUUUGUACAUGUAACAGUUAAGAACACGGAUUACUGUUUGUAGUAGAAAGGAACACUUUGCAAAAUUACUCCUCACUUCAGAGUUAGUUUCUUUUUGCUUAGUUGCUGUUUCUCUUUCUCAAUGGCUGAAUGGAAUGGUAUUUGCAUUUUACAAACUCUAAUUAAAAUGUACCAGUUUCAUAUUUCAUUUUACAAAUCUAAGAUUCCUAAACACUUACAUGAACUAAAUUUUAAAUCAAGGUCUUAAUUAAAUCUUUAAAUAAUUAGUGUUCAAAGCAACAGUGUGAACAGAAUUACUGUUAAUUAGAUUGUUCAUUUAUCUAUUCUGUUAUAGCCAGAGAUACACAUUUGGAUCUUAACCGUAAGUGUUUACAGAGAAGAGACAGGUAGUGGAAAUUAUUUAUAAAUCUAUAGUAAAAUAUAGUUUUUUUCUGCUAGGACUGUGUGGCAGAGGGCGUGUGUGCCCGUAUGUGUGUGUAUGGUGUUAAAUUUGAAUUUUAGAAAAACAAGUUGUAAGUUUUGGUUAUGUUCCAAUCUUCUGCAUCUUGAAUAUACAUUUAUUAAGGCACCUUGGAUUUCUAACCUAAAAAUCUUUCAAUAUAAUGUAAUGUCCUCCAAGAUUACUUUAGUUCAGUAUCUACUUCUUACUAAAAAAAUUGGGAGGGGGUAGGUUAGAAAACUAGAGUUUUUUUAUGGACCACAAAAACUGUUCCACUGUAAUUUUAAAAGGCUGAAGACUUCAGGUUAAUAAGCUCAGAGAUUUCUCAUAGGGGAAGGAAACAGAAAAAUUAUUACAUUGAGAACAUAAUGAAAACAAAGAAAGCCUUUAUAAGCUAAUGCUGAAUUUCAAUUCUUCAAAACUUGAGAGAAAAUAUCUUUUGACAAAAUUAAAGUAUGAUAAUUUAUGUAUUUCCAUUUAUGAGAAUAACGCUAGAAUAAAUUAAAAAUAAAGAAAAUCACAAAGGGCUGUCUUUUCCAAUUUCUUCACGAUUAAGAUCUUUGUUUCUUCCAAUUGAUUAGUAUACAGUAUGUUUAUAUAACAACAAAUCUAAUUGCUAAGUGAAAUAUAGGUGCCAUCUAUAAAGUAAAACAGUUUUCAAAUGAGCAUCCGGUAGAGUGUUCAAAUGAAGGUUGAUUCGAGAUUCACACAUUUUGUUAACUGAUUUGAAUUUAAUAUAAAUUGAUUCAUACAGUAUAUAUUAUUCUUCUGCCACUUGAAUUUGAUAGAAUAUCUGUUACAUCCAGCUAUUGCAUAUAGUUGUAGUUCUUUUCUUUUCUCUAUAAUCUUCCACUGAAUGUGUCUACUCAUUCUGUCAUUGGAGGAUAUUUGGUUUGUUUCCGAUUUGGGGCUCUUACAAGUAGUGCUGGGAUUGCUGGGUCAUAGUCUAUUUGUAUUUUCCGCUUUUGUAGAGAAUGCCAGACUCUCUUGCUGUAGAAUUAAACCAGUUAAUACUGCUGUAAACACUGCAUGAAUAUCUUCAUUUUUCCAAUAUUUUAGGAUAUGUAUCACACUAUGAUUUUAAUUUGCAUUUAUGUAGUGAUUAAUCAUUAGUAAAUAAUACACUUAGUAGUCACUAGUGCAUACAUCUUAUUAAGUAUCUAUUCAAGUACUUUGUCCGUUUUUAUAAUUAAUUAUAUUUUUCACAUCAGUUUUUGAGAGUUUAAAAAUAUAUAGGGGCGCCUGGGUGGCUCAGUCAGUUAAGCGGCUGACUUCAGCUCAGGUCAUGAUCUCACGGUCCAUGAGUUCGAGCCCCGCAUCGGGCUCUGUGCUGACAGCUCAGAGCCUGGAGCCUGUUUUGGAUUCUGUGUCUCCCUCUCUCUCUGACCCUACCCCAUUCAUGCUCUGUCUCAAAAAUAAAUAAACGUUAAAAAAAAAAUUAAAAAAUAUAUAUAUAUAUUUUGUGUGUGUGACCCCCUAUUAAGCAUAUAUGUUUUAGAUAUUUUCGUCCACUUGCCUUUUUACUCUGUGAUGUUUUUGAUAAAGUUUUAACAUAGCCCAAUUUAUUAAUUUUUCUUUAUGUACAAUGGUCUUGUGUCCCACAUAAGAAAAUUUUCUGUACAAUAAUUUUAUAAGAUAGUUUUCUGUUUUAUGGCCUAGGGGCACUUGCCUGUUAUGUUUAUUUUUUUGCCAUUCAUCACUAACUGAUUUUGUGAUAGUGUGAAAUAGGGGUCAAACUUCAUUUUUUCCUACGUGGUUAUCCAAUUAAUCCAGCUCCACUAAUUGAAAAAAACUGCUCUGGGGGCACCUGGGUGGCUCAGUUGAUUAAGCGUCCGACUUCAGCUCAGGCCAUGAGCCUCUCGGUUCUUAAGUUCAAGCUCCACGUUGGGCUCUGUGCUGACAGCUCGGAGCCUGGAGCCUGCUUCAGAUUCUGUGUCUCCCUCUCUGUUCCUUCCCUGCUCGUGCGCUGUCUCUCAAAAAUAAAUAAAGAUUUUAAAAAAUUGAAAAGACUGCUUUAAAUCAAAUUCCCACAUGUUUGCAAACUUGCUUGUAGAUUCUCUAUUUUGGUCCACUGACCUAUUUUUCUAACCUUGAACCAACAACACAUGGUCUUAAUUACUGAAGGUCUGUAGUAUGUCUUCAUGUCUGAUAAAAUAAGUCAUCAUAUCUGUUUUUUUUCUGCAGGGUUCUUGGUAAUUUUUUGUUUUUGCAUUUCCAUAUAUAUUUUAGAAUCAACCUUGUCUACACACACACACACACACACACACACACAUCUUUUCAGAUUUUGAUGGCGAAUGCACCGAAUUCUACAGAGUGAUUCAACCUAGUUAAACUUUUGAGAUUUUAAAUCUAGGAUCCAUGUAUAUUAUUCCAUUUUUGAAGUUUUUCUUGAUAAUGUUUUAUAGGAUGCUCACAAAGAGGUCUUAUGCAUCUGUCAUUAGAUUGAUAUUUUAUCUAAGUAAGGAUUUAUAUAAAAUAUUUCACAUUUUUGAUGUUAUUUAAAAGACCUUAUUUUUUUAAUUUUUAAUUUUUGAAAGAGUUUUUGUUAAAACAUUUUUUAAAUGUUUAUUUAUUUUUGAGAGAGGGAGAGACAGAGCAUGAGCAGGGGAGGGGCAGAGAGAGAGAGGGAGACCUAGAAUCCAAAAUAGGCUUCAGGCUCUGAGCUGUCAGCACAGAGCCCAGUACGGGACCGGAACCCACGAACCAAGAGAUCAUGACCUAAGCCAAAGUCAGAAGCUUAACUGACUGAGCCACCCAGGUGCCCCCUUUUUUUAUUUUUUAAAAAAUAUUUAUUUAUUUUGAAAGAGAGAGAGCAGGGGCGGGGGAGAGAGAGAGAGAAUUCCAAGUAGGCCUUGCGCUGUAGGAACCUGAAGCGGGGCUCAAUCUCAGGAACAGCGAGAUAAUGACCUGAGCCGAAAUCAAGAGUCAGACACUAAACUGGCUGAGCCACCCAGGUGCCCCCAAAAUAGCAUAUUUUCAAAUAUCUUCAUAACUGUUUACUGCUAGUAUAUAGAAGAACUCUAUUUGUUUUGUUUUUCAUUACAGGAGCCAGCAGCCUUGAAAAAUCACUUACUAUAUAUAAUAAUUCAUUAUAGUUUCUUUUAGAUUUUCAAUAUUCAUGUGCACAUCGACUGUGCAUAAUGGCGUUUUUACCUCUUCCUUUUCAAUCCUUAUAUUUUCUUUUUUCUUACUGUUCUGGCUAAGACUUUUAGCAAAUUGUCAAAUGGAUUUGUGAAUAAUGAGCAUUUGUGCCUCACUCCUCAUUUCAGGCAAAGAACAAUUUAUCGUUUAUCAUUAGUCAUAUGCUCCAAUGUGCUCCAAGUUCUUACCAAUUCCUUUUUAUCAGAUUAAGGACAUUCCUAGAUAUUUCUAAUUUCCACAAAAGGAAGUUCAGUUUUCUCGAAUGCUUUUUCUGCCUAUGUUAAAAUGUUGACAUGAGUUUUCUUUUUAUAAAUGUUACUUCAUGGUUGAACUAUAUUGAUCUGGUUGUAUUCCUAGUAUAAACCUAUCUUGUACUCCAAGCGUUCCUAGUAUUCCUAGCAUAAACCUACCUUGAUAAUGAUGUCUUAUUAUUUUCUAAUGUAUUCUGAUAAAGACUUGUUGUUUUUUAUUUUUAUAUUUUAGGAUACAUCUAUGUGUCUAUAUCCACAAGAAACAUCACCUGUAGUUUUCCUAUCAACUUUUGAUAUCAAAAUUAUUUUGGCCACAUAAAAUGAGUUGGGGAUGUUUUCUUUUCUUUUUUUUUUCUGUUAUCUGGAAGAAUUUAUGUAAGAUUAAUAUAUUUCUUUUUUAAAUGUUUGGAAGAGUUAACUUGAGAGGCUAUAACAUUGUGGAGUUUUCAUUAAAGAAAAGUGCUAUUUACUAAUGAAAUUUCAUUGAUAGUUAUGAGAUUUUUCCAUUUUUUCCUUUAAAAAAUUUAUUUUAUGUUUUAUUUAUUUUUGAGAGAGAGAGAGAGGGAGAGAGAGAAAGCACGGGAGGGACAGAGAGAGAGAGGGAGACACAGAAUCCAAAGACAGGCUCCAGGCUCUGAGAUAGCUGUCAGCACAGAGCCGGAUGCGGAGCUCAAACGCACGAACCGCGAGAUCAUGACCUGCGCUGAAGUCGGAGGCCCAACCGACAGAGCCACCAAGGCGCCACUUUCCAUUUUUUUCAUGUCAUCAUUAUUUAUUAACUCUUGUGGAGUUUGUCAAUUUCACCUAAGUUUCUCCAUUUAAUGGAGAUGUCCAUAAUUUAAAAACUUUUAUUAGUUUUUAUGCCAACUUUUGAUGUUACUAUAUUGCAUAGCUAUUCUGAUUUACUAAUUAUUAGGUUCUGCUCUUUAUAUCUGCGUUUAUUAUUUCUUGAUUCUUCUCUGAUUUUGCUGAUUUUUUUGAAUUUUCUGUGUUUUAAAAAUCUAUACACUAUAUGGCAUAUGUAUGUUCUUUUCUUUUGUGUGUGAGUAGCUCUUAUAUUUUAAAAAGUUAGUAAAUUUGGGGCGCCUGGGUGGCUCAGUCGGUUGAGCGUCCGACUUCAGCUCAGGUCAUGAUCUCACAGUUCGUGGGCCCGAGCUCCACAUCGGGCUCUGUGCUGAUGGCUCAGAACCUGGAGCCUGUUUCGGAUUCUGUGUCUCCCUCUCUCUUUGCCCCUCCCCCAGUCAUGCUCUGUCUCAAAAAUAAAUAAACAUUAAAAUAAAAUAAAAUAAAAUAAAAUAAAAAGUUAGUAAAUUUGUGCUAGCAUUUUUCUCUAUUUAACAUAAUGUCUCAGGUCCCUCUUUUCAUAUAGCAUCCGGGGGAUCCUUAUUCUGAUGAAUCAUACAAAUGGUUUAUUUCCUUUUCUACUGCACUUACUCUGUUCUCUACCAUCCAACUUUAGUAAAUAAUGAUUUCCCCUUAUGACAUUUUUAUAAGUUUUAUUUGCUUUUUGAGAGAGAGAGAGCACGAGCGGGGAAGGCACAGAGAGAGAGGGAGACAGAGAAUCCUAAGCAGGUUCCACACUGUCAGCACAGAGCCUGAUGUGGGGCUCAAACUCCUGAACCAUGAGAUCACCAUCUGAGCCAAAAUCAAGAGUCAGAUGCUUAACUGACUGAGCCACCCAUGUGCCCCAUUUUUCCUUUUCAAUUUUGACUUUUGUAACGCUUGACAUUAGUACCUUAUGUUUCUCGACCUAAAUGUUAUCCUAUUUCCUCCCAGCUAUCAGUGAUGAGACAAAGAUGAAACUUAAAUUGGGUCUGAUAUUCUUCCUUUCUUCUUCUCACUUUUAUUAGUUGCAUCAUUUCACUUUAUGGAGGAACAUAAUCCUUAAGCUCCACUCUGCUAACUAACUACACCUCCUAAUCUGAGUCCAACUUCUUUUAAAAAAAUGUUUUUAAAUAUUUAUUAAUUUUUGAGAGACAGAGAGAGAGAGAGAGGGAGACACAGAAUCUGAAGAAGGCUCCAGGCUCUGAGCUGUCAGCACAGAGCUUGAUGCGGGGCUCCACGAACUGCGAGAUCAUGACCUGAGCCAAAGUCGGACUCUUAACCAACUGAGCCACCCAGGCGCCCCUAUUUGAGUCCCACUUCUUUUUUUUAAAAAAAAAAUUUUUUUUUCAACGUUUAUUUAUUUUUGGGACAGAGAGAGACAGAGCAUGAACAGGGGAGGGGCAGAGAGAGAGGAAGACACGGAAGAGAGAGAGGAAGAAUCGGAAACAGGCUCCAGGCUCUGAGCCAUCAGCCCAGAGCCCGACGUGGGGCUCGAACUCACGGACCGCGAGAUCGUGACCUGGCUGAAGUCGGACGCUUAACCGACUGAGCCACCCAGGCGCCCCUUGAGUCCCACUUCUUACAGCGGCUCCUCACUACCAGGUUGCCUGCCAUGUUGCACACCGCCACCUCUCCCCAAUAACUGAAGUUCUACUAGUUUCCUCAAGAAAUCAUGGCAAGGAUAUUUUCUAAGUCCUUGUAUGUUCAUAAUUAGCCUGGUUAAAUAUCCUUAAAAUUGCAUUCUACCCUGUUGUCCUUUCACCAAAGAAAAUGAGCCAAAAAAGGCCAGAAUUGGACUUGCUGUUCAUACAUUUGCAUUGAUUUAAAUACAAUACAUACAAGGUCUACCGCGCAAUGGAAGAACAACGCAGGCAGCAGCAUUCUCCCAGCCCGGCUUCUCCUCCCUGACACAGGGACAGGGCCUGGGGCUGGCUGAGGGCUGGGCUGUUCCAUGAGUGUCACCCACAAGCCCGCCUUGGCAGUUUGGGCCCCUGGUUCUCCCCAAGUUCACAGUCAAGGCAGCCUUGAAGGAGAAUGGCUUCAAGGACAAUGGACACAUGCCACAAAAGGAUCCCCCACACUCUUGCCUGCCAGGACUAGGUCCAGCCCGCUCAUACACUGAACUCAAUUUCCUUCUCAUCACAGAACUGGUCUGGAUGAGGGAUAGUCUAGUUAAAUAUAAAACUCUUAGCUCACACUUUCUUUUCUCAUAUUGACCAAAACAGCCUUAUUUUUCCCCUCAGUCUGACUAAAUUUUAAACAUGUUUCUUCCUGAUGAUAGGCUCCUGAAUUCCCUUCUCUUAGAGCAUUUACUUUAAAGACUUUCAAUUGUAGGUUCUUUCUCUGCUCCUUUGACCUGUAAAUGUUUUCCUAGCCUCUUUCCAGUUUUAUAACCCAGAAAUGACCUUCUCAAGGACCUGGGAGCCAUCCUUUUGAAAUGUGAUCAUUGGGAAACAUAGAGCCUCUAUCUCCCUGACUUUGUGGACAGGUUAGAAGCCUACCUUCAUUGCAUGUAGACUAGCAAACACAGAAGCCUAUGCCUUCACAUUGAACAUCUUCCUCCCUGAUGCCCUUUGGUACUUUUCUGCUGGCUUAGCCUAGUGCUAAAAAACGAUCCGACCUCUUGUUUCAAUCUCUCUUCCCUGUGGUAAUAGUAUUGAAUAAUGUUUUCUUUGCCAAUUUAACUAUGUCUGGUGAAAUGUUUCUUUGACAACGUGUCUUGUAAGUAUUGUUCCACUGUCUCUGUUAUCAUCUAUUUCUGUGAAGAAAUCUGAGGUCAGCUUGACUAUUCUCCCGUUAGAAAUGUCCUGAGGGACAUGUGGGUGGCUCAGCAGGCUAAGUGUCCGACUUCGGCUCAAGUCAUGAUCUCACGGUUCGUGAGUUCGAGCGCCGCAUCGGGCUCUGUGCUGACAACUCAGAGGUUGGGGUCUGUUUCAGAUUCUGUGUCUCCCUCUCUCUCUCUGCCCCUCCCCCACUUGCAUUGUGUCUCUUUCUCUCAAAAAUAAAUACACAUUUAAAACAACUUAAAAAAAUUGAAAAUUAAAAAAAUUAAAAUCUCUUGAAUUUUUACCUCGCUAUCCUAAUAUAAAUCUCAAUAACUUUACCAAGGCAUGUCUCAUGAACCUUUACAGUUCAGUAUUCACUGUAGAAAAGUAAAUGUAUCGUGGAAAAGUUUUCUUAACGCAUGGCUUAAAUAUUUGUUUGGUUAUUGUUUUGGUUGUUUUCAUUAUUAUCUCCAAUCACAUCUACAUUUGAUCUUGUUUAUCUGUUUCCUAUUUACCACAUGCUCCCUAGUCCUUUUUCCAUCUUUAUUUCUGUUUUAUUUUGCUCUAUUUUUCCAUUUUCAUACUUCCCUCUCCAUGGUAGUUCCCUACAACUUUUUAUACAUUUAUGUGUCGAUUUUGUUUUCCUUUCUAUUUCACUUUUUGCCAACUUACAUUUCAAUUUCUUCUAUUUUUUUUUUUUUUUCAUCACAUUUACCCUGACCUCUUGCACUUUUUGCUUGGGUGGUCUUCUAAAGCCAUGAUUUCUUCUUUAGUUGAACACAUUUUGUGUCAAGAUGUUUCAUUAUGAUUCAUCUAUUCUCUUUCACAAUUUCAAUUAAUUCUAUGAGUGAUAAAACUAUACAAGAAUAUGCACAAUAAUUUAAAUUUUUAUCAGUCAGGGUCCUUGUUUGAAGCCUCAAUAUUUCAUUCUGCCUAAGUUAGGCAGAAUGGAUUGAUUCAAAGGAUCUUAGGUGACUAAUAGGAAGACUGGAGGUCAGGGAUGAGGAAACAGGCAGAAAUCAAAGGGAGUUUUAGGGCCAGAGGCACCCUUGCUGUCAUACCACAGAACUCAUGUAUUUAGCACACUGACACUAAUCUUGCAAACAGAAACUGGGGCUAUCAUUGUCCCAGCUGCCACUAGACACCAGACUCCACCAUCAACUGACACAAUGAACUGUAAUGUAUACCUAUUGCCUGUUUCUAUUCAAUGUCCCAGGCAAAAACAUAUAAUUAGUUGAACGUGGAUCACUUGCCUGCCCCUGGUUGCCAGAGUACAGGAAGAACAACUAUUUGCUUUUUUUUUUUUUUGAAUCCAGGAAGACUCACACAUCGAAAGAAUCUCUAAUUAUUUGGUGGGGCUUCAGAUUCUGGGCAGUCAAGUUAAUAUUGGUAUAUGACCAUUUAAAAAGUUACAUACUGGAAUGAUAAAGAUGUGACUUAAAGGGCCAAACUAUUAAAGGAAAAUGAAGAUGUAAGUUAUAAAGAAAUGGGAAAGACAUAAAUGAGAAGGUACCAUGGGGUGAUGAGCAUGUAUUGUUUUUGACCACUGGCAUCAGUUUUUCCUUAUUCUGGUAAUAGCAUCUGGAUUUUACUUUGAGAACCACCUCACCACUUAUAGUCUCUAUAGGGCAGGUAGGGAUAACCCAACUCAUUUGGUGGUAGGUCCAGGCCUGGACUUGAUCAGUCAAGGCAAUCUACCUCACUGGUGACUGAGAUUAGUUCGGAGCUGGGCAUGUUACUCACACAAGGCAAAGGAGAUCUCUGAAAAAGAAAUCAUGACAGAUCAUUUCAGGAACUAUUGGAACAGAGAUAUUUCCUUUUCAGAAUGGCUGCUUGUUUGUAACAGAAUCUUCAAGCUUCUGGUAGCCAUGUUGACUCUAUGUGAGACAGUAUCAUAGAUGGCUACACUGAGGCCAAUGAGAGGAAAACUGGCUAGAGGUGGGUAGAUUUCCUGACCACAUUUGUUGUAGUUCAUUGCAGUCCUGGCUGAAGUGUGUAAGACUCCUAAGAAGAAAACUCUAUUAACUUACUGAGAAAUAUAUAAAAGGAGGCUCGAAUUUCCAGUACACAUUUUCAUUUCAUAAGUGAAAUCUUACAAAUUCUAAAGUUGAUUUCCAAGACAAUUUGGAUAAAAAAAAAAAACGGCCAGAAAAUUUUAAUACCCAUAAGAUGAUUAACAAAUGUCAAAGCAUACAGUAAUGCUCCAGAAGUUAAAAAAAUGUGACUCUGGUGCUGAAACUUAUUAAUUAAUGGAAUAGAACAAAGUCAAGAUAAUUCAUGCAUCCAUUGAAUCAUUUUAUAAUACUGAUAUUUCAUAUUAGUGAGAAAAGAAUGGGAUUCAAUACAUAAUAUUGGGAAAGUUACAUCACAUGGAAAAAUAAGUUAGAUCCAUGUUUCAGAAAACUAAUUCUGUGUAGAUGUAAAAAUAAAAUUCCAGAAGAAUGAAAUACCUGUUUAAAAGAACCAGAAGAAUGCCUUUUUGUAGUUGCUAUGGACUGGAUUGUGUCCCCCACAGAUUUGUAUGUUGGAGCCCAGGGCAUUUAGAAGGUAAUUAAGAUUAAAUGAGGUCCUAAGGGUGAGGUCCUAAUACACCAGCAUUGUUAGCCUUAUAAGGAGUGGGAGAGAGAGAGAUCUCUCUUCAUGCAUGGGCAUUGAGGAAAGACCAUGUAAGGAUAGGGUGAGAAGGUAGUCUUCUGAAAGCCAGGAAGAGAGCUCUCACCAGAAAUUGAGCAUGGUGGCACCCAGAUCUCGGACUUACAGCCUCCAGAAACCGUGAGGAAGGAAAUUUCUGUUGUUAACCACAUGAGGUAUUUUGCUAUGGUGGCCUGAGCUGACUAAUGCAGUAAACCGAAACUGAAGAUCUUUCAAACAUGUCAUCAAGACUGAAAAUCAAAAAUCUAAGAAGUUUUACAAAUUUGAUUACAUGAAACGUUAAAACAUCUGUAUCAUGGAAACUACCACAUUUCAGGUAAAGAGAAGCAAUAGACAGACAUGGACAAAAUAGUAUUCAUUUUCUCUAUAUAAUAAAAUCAAUAGCCAUCAUCUAAGGAGUUUCUAAAAUAAAGAAGAAAAUGACAGUUCAAUAGAAAAAUGGACAAUUAAUGUAAACAGAAAAUUUGCAGAAGGAAAAAUGGAUUAAUAAAUGUAAGAAAACUGCUUGACCUCAUUUGUUUUUUAAAUCUUUUUUUUUAAUGUCUGUUUAUUUUUGAGAGAGAGAGGGACAUUUGGGUGGCUCAGUUGGUUAAGCGCCCAACUUUGGCUCAGGUCAUGAUCUCACGGUUCAUGGGCUCGAGCCCCACAUCGAGCCUGGAGCCUUCUUCGAAUUCUGUGUCUCCCUCUCUCUUUGCCCCUUCCCAGCUCAUGCUCUCUCUCAACUUUAAAAAAAUUAAAAGAGAGAGAGAGAGAGAGAGAGAACGAGUGGGGGAGGGGCGAAGAGAGAGAUGCACAGAAUCCAAAGCAGGCUCCAGGCUCUGAGCUGUCAGCACAGAGCCCACCGUGGGGUUCAAACCCACGAACUUGGGGAUCAUGACCUGAGCCAAAGUUGGACACUUAACUGACUGAGCCAUCCAGACACCCCUGACUUCAUUUGUGAUCAAAGUAAUACAUAAGGAAAUCAUAAUAAAAUGCUUUUCCUUGUCAAUUUAUAAAGAAAGAGUUGAGUGUCAGCAUCUACUAUUGGCCAGAUGGAACAAAAUAGCACUGUUAUGUAUCAUGAAUUGUGGUAUCUGUUAUGCCCAGAAUUCGCGAUCCCCAAAGACCACCAGGGAGCCAAGUCCGAUGCAAAAGCAAAGAGCCUUUAUUCGAGCUAGUAGCUCGAGCUCAAUCCCCUACCUGCACCCACACAGCAGUGAAAUGCUGGAGAGAGCCAGCGAGUUUCAAAAACACAAAGGUUUUAUAGGGGUCUAGGGGCAGUUGGUGAGGUAAUGGCUGUGGCCUUAGCCGAUUGGCUGGGGAAGGGUUGUGGCCUUAGCCAAUUUGCUGGGGAAGGGUCAAAGUCCCAUUAGGCAGGUUGCCGGGUGUGUUUUGAUCUGGAAGUUUCAACGGGUGAGUGGGAGGUUACUCAAGAGGAGGAGGCGUGGUCUGAGGUUUCUGCGGUUUUCCCAGAAAGGGGGCCAAGUAGGGGACAUAGUCACUCAAGAUGGAGGACACAGAACAUGAUGGAGUCGGCCGGGGUAGGUCCGCUCUUUCAGUAUCCAUAUGCUGAUAUAAUGCUUCAGUAUCUAUUACAUCUAAAAUAUGUAUCCCACUGAUCCAGCAAACCUCCUGUUCAGAGAGUUUUUGACAGAAAUGACCUUACUGUGAACAAAUAUAUAUUCAUUGGAGCAUUGUUUAUAACAGCACAAAUAAAUUAAAAAACAAAAAAACCUGAACAUCCACCAAAGAAGGUUUAGAUAAAUUAGGAUACAUGCCAAUAUGAACUAUUAUGCAUGGGUAAAAAUAAUAUUCUUUUUUGUAUAUAUGAGGGGAAGUUCCAGUAGGAAUUGCAAAGCCUAAAAGUUAUUCACAAAUGCGUGUAGAGUGUGAUGCUAUUUACAAACAUUCUAAAACCUGUGUGUGUGUGUGUGUGUGCGCACCAAAGGAAAAAAGAACAGAAAGAUAAAUGCCAAACAUUCAGGUGUUUACCCUAGAGAGGGGAGUAGUAUGAUGGAAAUACUUUUGCUCUUUUAGUCUCUACUGCUUAGCUGUAUUACAAUGAAUAAUAAUAGAGUUUAAUUUUUUAAUGUUCGUUUGUUUUGAGAGAGUGUGUGCAUAUGAGCAGGGGUCGGGGGGACAGAGGAUCUGAAACAGGCUCUGUGCAGACAGCAGACAGCAUUAUGCACGGCUCUUAACCCAUGAACCGCGAGAUCAUGACCUGAGCUGAGGUCACACACUUAACUGAUUGAGGCACCCAGGCGCCCCCACAUACGAAUAGAGUUUAAAACAUAGAAUUAGCACUUAUUCUGGAAAAGUUAUGGUAAAAAAAAAAUGAAAAUGUUGGUACCAUCAUCAAAUAGUUCUUUUUUGGAAACAACAAUUGAUAUAGUAAAAGCCACAAACUUACAUCUGGUUAUAAAAUAGAAGUAAUAGGUUUUACAUAUCUUGUUACGUCACUUCAAUUCUACUGACAAAUUGAUACUAAAACUCUGUUUUAUCAAUGAAAACGACUUAGGCUCAAACAUUGACUUCAGUAGGAAGUUAGAGCAGUGCAGGUGGGCACAGGUGUAUCCCUAUAAAACCUCUUCAGUAUAUCUGUUCCAGGUUCAGAGUCACAGCCUAUGGGAGGGAGGUGGGGAAAGGGGACUAAGUAAUCUGACCUUAGUGUCCUCUGUUCUCCAUGCCUGCCACGCCUCCCACUGGGAGACUCCAACUAGAAAAUGGAGGGCUAGGAGCCUGGGUGAGACAAUCCCUAAUGUAACCCAAAGGCAGUUCUGGGCCACAGAGCAGGGAGGGGAAGGGACAUCUAUAGCUUUGCAGCAGCACAAGGAGAAGAGCCACCCUAAACACCAUACACCCAGAUGGUCUCCACCACUCAAGCCUUUUCUACUUUCUCUCUUCUAGGAAGGCUCUUCACAGACCACACCUACGUCUGACUAAUUGUCUUUCAAAGUUGAACUCAGCCAGUCUCUUAAAUUGCUAAGGUCAGGUGCAGCACUCCCCAAAGAAGUAGAGUUCCAGGCGUUGGUGUAUUUUUCCUAUUGCUUCACACCUGGAACCAGAGGCAUCCAUUACAGCUCCAGGAAGACAUGCAGGUACCAAAUGAAAAACCUGGAAUUUGUGUUCUGAGAACUAUGACACAAGAGAAAACUGGUGGACUGUUACCAGUAACCUCAAAAUUAAAAUAAAAAUAGCCAGCCUCUAUGUUUUGUGGAACGAAAUUUGCAGGUAAUUUUCCAAUUAUUAAAGACAAGAAGGGGGAUUGCUAAGGAUUAAAGUCCUCACACAGCUCCGAUAGAUACAUUUUAAAAGAAACUCUACAAGGGGCGCCUGGGUGGCUCAGUCGGUUACACGUUGGACUUAGGCUCAGGUCCCGACCUUGCAGUUUGGGAGUUCGGGCUCUGUGCCGACAGCCCAGAGCCUGGAGCUUACUUCAGAUUCUACCUCCCUUUCUACCUGCCCCUCCCCUGCUCAAGCUCUGUCUCUCUCUCAGAAAUAAACAUUAAUUUUUUUUUCAAAAACAAAAUAAUAGAUAUUCUACGGAAGGCAAAAAAGACUUUUUCUCAAACAUAUACUCUAGAAAGCUUGAGUAUUUAUAUAUAGCUACCGGCCUGCACUAUGUUAUUAUUCUUGUGGGUUUCCCUCUUUUUAAUGAUGCAUGUGCACUUAGUAUAUUAGCAGGCUUCCCCUUGUUUUUAAAGGGAGAACCCAACAUCCAAAAAUAGAUUGAUUUUAUGCUUAAAUACUGAAGUAAUAGUUCUGGGAAUAAGAGCCUUCAGAGUCUCUUAAGUUUCUUUAUAUCCCUUAUUUUAUUUGCUAAGAAUAUUAUGGAAACUCUGCCAAUACCCUUUGGUAAGAAGCUAAUUAACAAUGAAUGAGUAUAGUCAAUUGAGAUAUUGUUAUGUAAGCAAAUAGAACAAUGCCAGGCUACAUCGUUUAUUAUAAAACAUGCCUCAAUUAAAAUUUCAUGUGAUAUAGUGCACGCAGAUUUUCUAGGAUAAACAGCAAUGUUUUAGAGACUAAAACCCUUUUAUAGUGCUCUACUAAACCCUGAGACAGCAAAUCAAUAGGAUAUUCAAGUCAAGCAAGACAGUUUCAGAGAAGGACAAACUAUUAACCUUAAAUGUGAAUGCAUUUGCAUUUAUAAAUUUAGCUUAAAUCAAUUUGUGUCUAAUCUCCUUGUAAUUAUAUCCUGUUAUUUAGAAAUGAUAAGUAUAUUUUUAAAACUUUUUAAUUGACAUUGUAAUGAUCCAAAUGUAACUCAGAGUGGCCUUUAUUAUAUUCUUAGGGAGAUAAUAUCAAAUCUGCACAUGAUGACUGCAACUUGUUCCAACUACCCGGUAAGUAUCAGUGAUGAAAAUUGCUUAUAAAAUUUUGAGCUCCCUGGAUUCAGCUUUUCAUGCUUGGUUGUCUAAAGACAUUCCCUUCGGUCUUUUAUUCCUUGAGAUAAAAUUCACAUACCAUAACAUUUAUAUCCUUUUAGUGUUUUAGUAUAUCCACGAUGUUGUGCCAUCAUCACUACUGUUUAAUUGCGGAAUGUUUUCAACAUCUCCAAAGAAAGCCCAUACCAGUCGGUGGUCAUUCUCGAUUACCCCUCACCCCAAUCCCUGGUAACCAGAGCUGAUACUCUAUCUCCAUGGAUUUACCAAUUCUGGACAUGGUAUAUACAUGGAAUCAUAGAAUAUGUGGCCUUUUGCCUUUGACUUUUUCAACUUAGCAUAAUGUAUUCAAGGUCAUCCAUGUCGUGGCACCAAUCAUUAGUUUAUUUCUUUAUAUGGCUGAAUAAUGUUCCAUUAUAUGGACAUAUCACAUUUUGUUUAACCAUUCAUCAGUUGAUGAACAUUUGGGUUGUUUGCAUUUUUUUGCUAUUAUGAAUAACUCCACAAUGAAUACUUGUGUACAAGUUGUGGUCAUAUGUCUUCAGUUCUCUUGGAUAUAUAUCUAGAAGUGGAAUUGCUGGGCUCUGUGGUCACUCAAUGCAGAAUUAAGUUUUGUGGGAUCCCUGAAGAAUUUCACUGCAUCUUUUUAGGUUCUCACCAGCGAGGUAUGAGGGUUCCAACUUCUCUACAUCGUCACCAACACUGGUUGUUGUCUGUGUUUUUGUUUAUAUCAAUCCUUUCCUUCAUGCCUUUUUUUUAAAGUUUAUUUAUUUAUUCUGAGAGAGACAGAGACAGCGUGAGCAGGGGAGGGGCAGAGAGAGAGGGAGAGAGAGAGAAUUCCAAGCGGGCUCUGCACUGGCAUCGCAGAGCCCCAUGCGGGGCUUGAACUCACAAAACCACAACAUCAUGACCUGAGCUGAAACCAAGAGUUGGAUGCUUAUCCAGCUGAGCCACCCAGGCACCCCUUUUUCUUCAUUCUUAAAUAAAAAAUCCAAUUAAUCCUUAGAAUACCUUUUUAUAUUGACACUGACUAUCCUAAAUAACUCAGCGAUUAAAGCUUUUCUUUCAACUACUGUUUUCAUCAUUUUGAGCAGAAAUAUUUUUGAUAUCUGUGAAAUGGAGAAAAUGCUACACACUUGAAAUGAAUUUGUGGAAAUUUCAUGAGUAUAUUGGUUUCCUAAUGAUGCUGUAACAAAACAAAUUUGGUGAUUUAAACAAGACAAAUUUAUUAUCUUAUCGUUCUAAAGGUGACUAUUCUGACAUGAAACUCACUGGGCUGAAAUCAAGAUGUUGGCAGGGCGGCAUUCCUCUCUGUAGGUCUAUUUCCUUGCUUUUUCAAGUUUCUAAAGACCACCCCCAUUCCUUGACUCAUGGAUUUCUCUCUCUUACCUUCAAAGCCAAGAAGGGCAAGUAGAGUCCUCCACCUGUUUCCAUCUCUUCACUUAGAAAAGAUUCCUCACUUGUAAGGAUGCAGGAUUAGAAUGGACCCACACAGACAACCCAGGAUAAUCUUUCCUUCUCCAGGCCCUUAAACUUUAAAAAAAUUUUUUUAUGUUUAUUUAUUUUUGGGAGAGAAAGAGACAGAGCACAAGCAGGGGAGGGGCAGAAAGAGAAGGGAGACACAGAAUCCGAAGCAGGUUUCAGGCUCUGAGCUGUCAGCACAGAGCCCGACGUGGGGAUUGAACUCACAAACCGUGAGAUCAUGACCUGAGCCCAAGUCAGUCACUUAACUGACUGAGCCACCCACGGGCCCCUCCAGGCCUUAAUUGAACCAUAUCUGCAAAAUACCUUUUACCACGUAAGGUAACGUGUUCAAAGAUUCUAUGAAUUAUGGCAUAGACAUCUUUGUGGGACCAUUGUUUUCCCAUCACAAUGAGACAACGUACGUCUCGUGACAGGUACAGGACUGGCACACAAUGCUGGAUAACCAUCUUUUUUUAAUUGUUUAUAAUAGGUACUAUAUGGUAAAAUGGCAAUGUAGUACAUUUCUACUGUGUCAAGAAGAUGGAUGGCCAAAUCUGAGACAGCUGUACGUAAAGACUUAAAGUUCAUACACUACUGUUACUCCCACAGAAUAAUUCUUGUCAUGGGAUAUUUGGCAGAUGAGUAUCGUGGCAUUAACCCCCGGCCACAACUGCCUCAUCUUUCCUCUGGCCUGGCAGCCAAGACAUCUCAGGGCCAUUUGGAGAUAUUUUGUUUUUGUGAUGUGAUCAUCACAGUCCUUUACCUAAAACUGAGAGGACACUGAAGAGACCUUGAGAGAGGAAAAGAAUAUUGCCAGAAUUCUAAAAAGUGGACCGUUGGUUCUGUCACCUGUGAUGAGUGACGUUUUUCCUUCAUUUAUUCACAUCAGUAUCACUAAUUUCUGGGUCUUCUAAUGCUUGAUAUGUACCCAUAGCUUACUUUUAAAAUGGGGAGAGUGGUCACAAUAGUGUUUAGCGAGCAAAGACAUUAUUAGCUGGAUAGUUGCUAAAAUUCCCUAUGAUGAAGAAAGUCAUUUCCAAUAUCUCUCUUGUGUCUUUGCUACACACACACACACACACACACACCGAUAAUUUCUUCCAAAUACCUGGUUCUAUGGCAAGAGUUCCACUCCCUGACAACUUUGGGGUUUGAAAGAAGAUUGGGUAGCAUUAACAUAGUAAAUGUUCACAUUUCAUAGUAACAUUAAUACAGUAAUUGUCAAUUAUCUUAAAAACAACAACCACUACCACCAUCACAACCACCACAGGAAAUAGACCUCUGUUAAUAAAAUGAAAUAAAUUUCUAGCUCCACAGGGAAACAAAAUGUUGUGUCAUUGGUGGAGACCAGAACCAAAACAAAUCACUUUAUUCAUAAUAACUGGAAAUGUCAUUUUCUCCCUUAGGAUUAGCUUUUCUCUUCUGUAACCAUAAUCACUUUUUGCCUAAAGGAAUUAAUUCUGAAAUUAAGACUAGCUAUUUUGUAUUACUUCUUGUUUCUUUGAUCAAAAAAAGGCAGUUACAGACUUAUUGAGUUAAAAAUAAUUCUUGAUUUUUUUAAAGCAAUUGUUGCCCUGGAUAAGUUAGGAGUUUCAGUCCAAUGCCACCAAAUUUUUAAAUUAAAAAAAUUUUUAAGAUUAUUUAUUUAUUUUGAGAGAAGGGAGAGAGAGAGAGAGAGAGAGAGAUGACAAGUAGGAGGGACAGAGAGGAGAGACAGAAUCCCAAGCGAAUCCCAACUCGAGGCUCGAACUCCUGAAUAUGAGAUCAUGAUCAAGAGUCAGACGUUUAACAGACCACACCACCCAGGUGCCCAAUGCCAUCAAAUUUUUAGUAAAAUCAUUGCAUUGUCAGAUGGCUACAAAAGAAAUAACGUUUUCUGUAAUUUGUGGACAUUCCCUAAAUGUCUCUAAAAGCUUUGCCAAUAUUUGCCAGUUUGAAAAUAUGUUCUAGUAGAAAUUCAGCUAGUGGUAUUUUAAGCAAAUUCCAAUUAGAAACCAUUUAGAUGUCAGUGAUCAAAACAUAGGAGGGAGAGUUGGUAUCUAACGAUGAUAACGCACAUUUAUAGAAUACCUUUCCCUGAGAAGAUCAGAACAGGUAAGCACAAGUACUUGUAUCUGUUUAACACUGAUGCUUGGAGUUGGGCACAUACGCUGACUUUUCCAGGUGGGGCUAAGGAGGAGAGCUGUGUAUUUACCUCGCACAUCUGACAGCACAGGAACAGGCUUGUUUUAUUUAGUGGGGAAAGAGCGGAUAGCCAGGGGUGAAUUGACACAGAGGAACAGAUAGCCUCGGUUCAAGCACUGUUUGCCUCUGACAUCAGUGUUACUGUUGACAUCUUCUGUCCUUUGUUGUCAAUCCCUAAACUAAAUUACGGAUUUUGUUCCCGCAUAAAAAGAAAGCUGUAAUUCAUUGCUUCAUGUACGUUAGCAAAAAUGCUUCUGCCAAAGGCUGUUUCUGAAAUACUGCAAUAAAAAGACCUAAAUCAAUAGAGGAGAAAAAUGAAAAUGAUAAAUAAUAAUAAAUGAGAGAAAAAUUUUAAGAUGUCUGACAAUGCCAUAUUCUAUUUAAGGGUCAAGCUAAAAGUAUGUUGACGCAGACCUUAGAAGGGUCUGAAUGCGCUCCGGUGCCCACGACUUUUUCAGCUGGUGAUUUGCAACAUACUUUUAAUAAAGAAUGUGGGUAAAAUAAGAGAAAAGAAAGCAAGUAAAAAACACCUACACUCCUAGUACCUGCACAAACUACCGUUCAUCUUUUGGUGUAUUUAUUUUCUUUUUCUGCAAAUUAUUAUACUUUUGUUUGUAAAUUUUUAUUUUGAGAUGAUUUCAAAUUCAUGGAAUAUUUUCAAGAUGCGUACUAUAAAUUCCCUGAUACUUUUAACCCAGAUGUAACAACUGUUCAGUUUUGCCUCCUUAGCUGUAUCAGGUUCUUUCUCUUCACCUGUGUGCACGUGCACACACACACACAUACGCACACACACAUCUACCUGUGUCUGCGUAAAUAUUUGUAACCAGAUACAUAUGAAAAAAAUUUUCCUGAAUCAUUUGGGGGUAUUAUAUCUUUACUCCUAAAUACCUCUAAAAAUCAAGAACUUGAACAUUGUUGUAAUACGUUAUCUAAUCCACGUAUUUAACUUUUUCUAGUUGUCCCUGUAAGGUAUCUUAUAAUUUUGUCCCCUUAGUACAGCAUCUAAUCUAGAUCACAUGUUAUGUUUACUUAUUAUGUCUGGUUGGCUCUAUUAAUCUGAAGAAGAUUCUCAGCCUUUCUGUUUUAUUGACCUUGACAUUUUUAAGAGACAAGAUAAUACUAAUACUAAUAAUACUACAAAUAAUAAACUCAUAGAAUGUGCUGCACCUUAAGUGUUUCUGGUGUUUCCUCAUGAUGCAAUAUGAGUUCUAUAUAUUUUUUGAAGAAUACCAUAGAUAUGGUGAUGUGCUCUUUUCACUUAAUGAGGCACAUAUUGACUACUUGCUCCAACAUGAGUAACAUGAACUUUGGUCAUGGGGUUAGGCAGUGCCUGCCAAGAAUCUCCACUGUAAUUUAAUUAUGUUUCUAUUUAUAAUGAAGCUGUAAUUUGUGGAUGGGCACUUUGAGACUAUGUAAAUACCCUAUUCCUCAUCAAACUUUAGCCAUUAAAUUUAGCAAACACUAUUGAUUUCUAACUCUAUCAUUUCUUCCAUAUUUUAUUAGCUGGCAUUGAUAGAGAUUUCUUAUCUCCUCUAUUAUUGAUUCAUGUAUGUAUGUGUGUAUGUAUGUGUGUGUGUAUGUAUAUUCACAUAGAUUCAUGGAUUCCUAUUUUAUUCAGUUACAAUUCAUUGUUAUUGUAUUAUUAUUAUUAUUAUGCUCAAGUGGCCCUAAUUUUGGCCGGUGGGAACCUUUAUAAUCUUUUUGACUCAGCUCCAAGAUUUAUUGAGCAUUCUUUUAAUUUAUGGUGAAAAUGUUCCAGACUCAUGUUGGAUUUUCUCUGCCCCAGGCUUGGCAUUAGUAUUUACUUCAAUGAGUCCUGAUUUCUUUACAGUAGAGAAUGGCAUUUAGAAACUAAAGUCUAGGGAAUAAUGUACUCAUUGCUACUGGGGUGUCAUUUCCUCUAGGUCCGCCCAGUAGACAGGGCUAGAAAAUAUACACAUGGACACACACACAUACACACACACCUCUCUAUAUAAACAGAUAUACCUAUGUAUGCCUCUAUUUAUCUGUUUAGUAGUAGACAGUAAUAGUUAUAUGAAUUGAUACUAAUUCCAAUACCACACCACAGGAGCGUGUUAGUCUUUCCCCUUUCCAUACUUGUAACUCCCUUUUCCAAAAGUGAAAAACAACUGGCUCUCAUUAUCCUUUAUAUAUAUUACAUUAAAUAUUGUAUAUAUACUACGCAUUCACAUAUACAUUAUAAAUAUAAUGGUGGCCGGGCACAUGGGUCAUGUUCCCAUCAUCUCAGAGGGGCACUGGAUAGUUGUAGGUUAUGGCCGGGUUGGUGAUGGUGGCUACUUGGCGAAGGGGCUCGGUGGGGGCAGAAUUCUAGCAUGGCCUCUGAUGGUGCAGGACACAUCCAGCACUGGCUCCCUGGUCCAGGUAUUCUUGUGGAAAUCAUGAGUCCCCACCGGUCAUCUUGAUCUGAUGGCAGUGGCAGCCAUCAUCAUCACCACUAAUCCAGAGUUUAUCAACCUCUCUCAAAAAAAAAGCCCAUACUCAUUAGUAGUCACUCCCCAUUAUCCCUCGUCUAGCCCCCGGAAAAAUGAAUCUUCAGGUAAAUAAUAGGUAAAGAAUAUACCAGCCGCACUUCCAAUUACUGCAGAAACAAUGGAAAGAAAGAAAGAAUGGUAUUCAUGUCCUGGAAAAUUCAGAGGCUUCUUGAAGUGCGCAUGAUAGGGGAAAGGGAUCCAGCUGGAUUCAAGUUUCUGCAGCAUCCCAAGCAGCUCCUGUCAAGGAAUCUAAUGAGAGUGAGUUUUCCAAUUGAAAAAAAAAAUAUAAAGACCAGAUGCGAACCUUCCUUCAGGGCAAGUUUCAGAGCUGAAGUAAUUUCAUAGUAGAGGUAGUCACUAUGAAACAGGAAUGAGAAAUCUACUCAUGAGAGAUAAGAGCAGCUGUGAUGGAGCAAAUCUCUGAGUAUUUAAGAAGAUGCAAUGUCUCAACUACUAUUCCUGAGCUGGGGGAUGGGAUGCCUCUAGGGAUUCACAUACGAUGAAUGCCAAGUGCCCAGACGCCCCGAUGGAUUUGGAUUUCCCCACAUGAGGGGAAUGGCUACCCUGCUGCCUGGCCCUUUUCUUAGUGGUUAAGUCUGAAGGAAAAUGGAACAAAAGGAUUGUAAAUAAAUGUUCGGUGGGCACACUGCUUCCCCAAGACUGAUGUUUUCCUCCAGGGGGAGGAAGUUCUGCUAGGAUGAAACUCCUGUGCUUCCUCCGUCCCCAAAUUUAAGCAUCCCAGGGUUGGAGGAAGGCAUCGGUUGGUGAAUUUUGGACCAGGAAACUAGAACGCAUAUUUUGUUGUUCUUUGAGAGCAGGCUUAGCCAUAAAACAAGAAUUUUGCAAUGCUCUUUCAUGCUGAGCGAAGGGAGUAUUUUAGAAAGAAUUUCUGCCUGGUGUAGUGACCCAUACUGCCUCAGUGAAUAUUUGGAGCCCCUUUUCUUAAAAAUAUAAGCCGAAUUCUUCACAGUUCAUCAACAUUAGGUGACUCUUUUCUUCUCAUUUCCCAACCGGUUUAGGACUUUUGUAGACAAGAGUUUAUUACUGGGCCACCCCAACACCUAUUUUCACUCAUUAGUAUCCCGGUGUUGAACCUUCUGAGGUCCAAGUUACUGCGAUAUCUCUAACUUCAGCUCAUUUACUUCUCAUUUUUCAGAAUUAUGCCAAGGAUUCCUAUCAUAUUGUCUUUUUUUUUUUUUUUUUUUUUUUUUUGGGACAGAGAGAGACAGAGCAUGAACGGGGGAGGGGCAGAGAGAGAGGGAGACACAGAAUCGGAAACAGGCUCCAGGCUCUGAGCCAUCAGCCCAGAGCCUGACGCGGGGCUCGAACUCACGGACUGCGAGAUCGUGACCUGGCUGAAGUCGGACGCUCAACCGACUGUGCCACCCAGGCGCCCCUCUAAAACAUUUUUUAUUAAACGUUUCCUGCUUUUAUUUUCCCAUGUCAAAGUAUAAGGGGCAUCUUCGCUGUCCUUAAAAUUUAUCUUGUGUUUUAUUGUGAGAACGAACCAUAACUAGUUUCUUUAAUUUCCUACCGAUGAUCAUUUAGAUCAUUUGUAAAUUAUGGCUUUUUCCUCCAUAGUAAACAAUUCUGCAAUCACUACCCUGGUAUAUAUGUCUUUGCUUUGAUUAAAUUUUUCAAAGCAGGAACAUUAAAUAUAAUGGAGAGGUAGUUGCUAUUGAUUUAAGCUUGUGCUAUACAAAUAAGGAAUAGGCAAUGUAUCAAAUGACAGAGGAAUCAGAGCAGUACAAAUCGUUUUAUCUUUAGACUUGCCCUUACAGGGAUUAGAUCAUAAGACAAUAGUCCAAUCAGAGAACUAAGAGAUAUCUCUGUGAUCAUCAAUCAAGAGAAUACAGGUAAUGAUUAUAAUGAUAACUUGUAUUAAAAGAUUAUGACAUCCCAGUCAGUGAAUUAAACCAUCUUACACAAUUCCUACAAAGUCCUUAUUAGGAAGAUGAUGUUAUUAUGCCCACUUUUUCAAUGAAGCAUUUAAGGUAGAUUAAUUUGACCUAGGUCACAUAGUGAAAUCUAUCUUCAGGGCAAGAAUUCGGUUUGCAUUAUGUAUAAUGGCACUCACAAGCCAAUUAAUUCUAUCAAAAUAGUCUGUGAGAAAGUCCCUUACUCAUAUAUAAGUACAGAAAGGCUGAAAUAUAAGUGAAGUGGGAGAAAAUCUAUAGAAUAACUGAAUCACUACUCAAUCUUUCUUUAAUUAUGCAUAUAUAAAUAUUAUCUAACGAUGGCUAUUUUUUACUAGCUCAGAUAUUAUUUUGGCCACUUAAACAAUUUUGCAAUGAACCAAUAGUGACUGAAGUCAUUUUUAAAAAGCAACGUGCAAAAAAAAUAGUAAGGAUAAAUAAAUAAAAAGCAAAGUGCAUAUAUUGUAAACUUCCACAACAACCACUUGGGUAUUAAGCCAAAACAUUUGAUUCACUGUUGUUGAUUUCCUUCUUUUCUCUUACCUCCCACAACCAUAGCGUCAAGUUUGAUUGAUUUUUCACUUCAAAAGGAUCACUUACAUCUGUCCCUUCUUUUCUGCUAUGAUUAAGAAUGCUGUCUUGAUGACAGAAGAUGAAGAAUGUUCUCCCACUCUGGAGUGGGACCCAUGGAAACCAGAUAAUUUGCACUGAGGUAGAAAUGAGGUAAAGGACGUGUUUCCUAAAUAAGGAACACGAAUAGUUGAAGUUGGUAGAGAGAGAUUUUAGGGAAGAUCAGAAAGAAGCUUCUCUGAGCAACUUCUCAGGUCCCUCCCCCUGGUUCCCAGGCAAAGAGUCAAAAAGUAAUAGGCAUAUGUGUGUAUGAAAUUAACAUGUUUCAAAUUCUCAAUACUUGUUACCAUUAACAUAUUUAUGCGGACUCUUUAUAACAAUACAUCUGAUUCAGGGCCCUUUGAAGAGAAUUUGUCCUGGAAUACAAAUAAAAAGUUGGCUCUCUGUCUCCACAUAUAUCUAUAUAUUUCUAUCUAUCUAUCUAUCUAUCUACGUAUCUAUCAUCUAUCUAUCUACUUAUCUAUCAUCUAGUUAUCUUUUGUUGGGCUUUUUGUUGUUCUAUUUGUUUGAUGCUGCUAUAGUGAUACAUAUGUUUCUACUUUGAGCUGCAAUGUUUUUGGAGCUAAGGAAUAGGGGGUAACAUCACAGAACUGGUAAGAGCAAAGUAAAUGAUCACACUUAUUCUUUGGCUCAUUUCCAUCAUUCAAGCAAGGAAAGCAAGCCCUUUAAAGGAAGAGAAGCAAAAACAUUAUGACUAGAGGAAACUUUCCAUGACUCUCUUCUUAUCGGCCAUGUUUUAUCUGUUGGCUGUUUAUAUUUCUACCCCUUGUGGCAUCAGCAAUCUGCAGCUUGGGGAAAUGAAUGUUUUUAAAAUGCUUUUGAGGCUCCUCAAACUUGAUUUUCCAUGUGGAAAUGUAGACAGAUUUAUCAAGGAAGGACAAAUGAAUACCAGUACCAAAGUAAUAAUAACAGUAACCUCCGAAUUGAUUGUUGGGAAUGACUCCUUAACUUUGGAUUUUCCUGUGGUCGGAGAUGUGAUCUUCUCCAGUGUGUGGACCUUCUCUGACUUGCGGUGGCUACAUCUGGCAUUCCAUUUUGUGUGCCAGCUAAAUUCUCUUCCAGGAGCUUAGGAAUGCUUGUUAGGAGAGUAUGCCUAGGAGUAGCAGAAAAGAAGAGAGACAAAGAAGAUAGAGGGGAAGGUGGAGGAGGAAGAAAAUCUGUGUCUCAAAUAUUCUCAUAACUUUUUUAUUGGGGAAAAAAAUAGUUUCAUUUGAAUUACUUUUCAAAUGAAAAUUUAUCAUUAAAAAACGGACUGUCUCCGGGCGCCUGGGUGGCUCAGUCGGUUAAGCCUCUGAUUUCAGCUCAGGUCAUGAUCUCAUGAUCCAUGAUUUCAAGCCCCAUAUCAGGCUCUGUGCUGACAGCUCGGAGCCUGGAGCCUGCUUCAGAUUCUGUGUGUUCUUCUCUCUCUGCCCCUCCCCCACUCAUGCUUUUUCCCUCCCCCCUUCUUUCUCAAAACUAAAUAAUUUUAAAAAAUGGACUGUCUCAAAUAUGUACAGACAAAGGAAAGGAACGUGAUUUGGUUUUAUUGUUUUUGGCUAAUUUAUCCCGGAAGCAAUUUUUUUUAAUGUUUUUAUUUAGUUUUGAAGGAGAGCGAGAGCAUGAGCAGGGAAGGAGCUGAGAGGGAGACAUAGAAAUUGAAGCAGGCUCCAGGCUCUAAGCUGUCAGCACAAAGCCUGAUGUGGGGCUCGAACUCACGAACUGUGAGAUCAUGACCUGAGCCGAAGUUGGACGCUUAACUGACUGAGCCACCCAGGCUCCCCACCUGGAAGCAAUUUUAAACAUGUGAUGAAUUCCAUUGAUUAUUUAAGAUAUUGUUUUCAUUAGGUAUACGAAAGUACCAUUUAAAUAUCCAGAGUGAGGGGCGCCUGGGUGGCGCAGACGGUUAAGCGUCCGACUUCAGCCAGGUCACGAUCUCGCGGCCCGUGAGUUCGAGCCCCGCGUCGGGCUCUGGGCUGAUGGCUCAGAGCCUGGAGCCUGUUUCCGGUUCUGUGUCUCCCUCUCUCUCUCUGCCCCUCCCCCGUUCAUGCUCUGUCUCUCUCUGUCCCAAAAAUAAAUAAACGUUGAAAAAAAAAAUUUUAUAAAAAAAUAAAAAAUAAAAAAAAAUAAAUAAAUAUCCAGAGUGAGUCUACAGAUCUCUUUUAUUCUGUUUUCCUGUUUUAGUAAGAUGAUACUCGUAAGGGUAUCUAGUACAAAUUUUUUCCUUGAUUUCUCUCCUUCAUUUCCCACAAAGGGUACUCAUUUCCAUUGUCUUUUAUUCUCUUCCUACUGACAUUAAACUUGACUGGAGUUCUGGCAGAAGCAUGCCCAAGGUUAGGAGAUGCUUAGACAAUCCUGCAGCAGCCGCUCUGGGGCAUCCCAGGCAAUCUGUCAUGAGAUAACAAGUCAUUCAACUAGGAACCUAGGGACUUAAUGAGUCUGUCACUAGGAGAGUGUGCUACAAAGUAUAGGGCAUUCCACUUCCACAAAAACCAUAACUUGAUUUAUGGCAAUAAAAUCAAGUACAUGGUAAUCUUUAGAUUGUGUCUCUUCCCUAUAAUGCCUAUUAGGUACCUGUUACCAGCCCAAAUUAGAAUAAAAAGGCUGUAAUUCUGUGUCAUCAUUCUUAGCUGUCUUGUAUAUUAAAAAUGAAGACAGAGCUCAAAAAAAAAAAGCUGUGCCCCCAGGUCUGUUCAUAGUCUUUAAUUGGAGACACUCUUCUGUUUGUGCCCCCCUAAAACCAGGAGGCAUCUUCAGUCUCGGUCAUAUGGCUGAAAGAAUUAAAAAAGAAGAGGCCAACAGAAAUUAAGGAAGAGAAUAAGGUUAUGGGCAAAGCACAGAAGAACACAGAAGGGUAGUUUCUGAUAAUCCCUUAAUUUUGUCUUCAGUUGAAAUGAAGAGAUUUUACUGAAAGAUCUUUUUAACUCAUGUUGUACUCUUAAGAGUUCUGAACCUUUCACCUUCAUUGACUUUGAAAAAGACCCAUUCAUUAAUUUGGGACAUAGUAAGGAGCAGAAUUCUCUAACAAUAUAGGCAUAUGUAUGUACCUAUUGAGUGGCCCAAACCUGGAAUACUGACAAUGCCAAAUGCUGGCAAGGAAAACGAGGAAGUUUAAAUGAGCUCCUUUUAAGCAGAAUAUAUGUGUGUGUGUGUGUGUGCUGAACUUCCUCUUGUUUUCUCCACUGGGCCUUGCUUUACAGACAAGGCAGGCAAAUGUCACCAUGAAUAUAAUGGAAUCAAUCCACUGGACCUAUCUGUCAGGGACAGCUGCUCAUGUCUGAGUUCCAGGCAAGGACCAUACUUAGGAAAGGUCUGUUAUUUUAGAAAACCGCCUAGUGAAACUUGUUUCUGAGGGCAGUGUUUUUGCACUGAAAAAUGAAACUAUAAAUUAAGUUUAGAGUGAGUCAAAGACAUAUGCUUGACCCCAGGCAUAUAUAGUUUGUCAUCUAACACACGUGAACUAUGAAUUUUGGUAUACUUAAAAGCGGUAUAAUUUGAAAUUUUACUUUGUUCCUCAAAUGUUACAGAAUUGGGAGAUUAGUGAUCUUGACCAUGUGGCAACUUGUCAGCUGUGCUUGUAGGGUGGUCAGCAUGUAAAGGUGACAUGGCUGGAAUAAUGCAGGCUAUUAUGAAAGGUGGGCAUUGAUUCAAUGGCCACAUCCUGGUUCUCACCCAUUUCCCCAUAGGUCCUGUGAUUAAGUCAGAGUCCACAACAUCAUGGCCAUUAGCAGAGGAUUCUCUGACUGAUUAUUGCUGCCUUUUCAACUUUAAUAGAUUUUUUUUUUACCAUCAAUACCACAGACAUUAUGGGAUCUGCUUGGGGGUAGGAAUGCCUACGUGUUACUAAAUUGGUGGACGACCCUUACAGAGAUGAGUGAGGAAAGAAAAAAACCUCUGGAGUUUGAAAGUGGUUGACAUUUGACCCAAUUGCCUUCGAAGAAUGGCAAAUUUUCCCUUAGGAGAGAGUUUCACUUUUAUUUAGGAUAUCACCUUUUCGAGUCUGAAAAGGUCGUGCCUUAGGGCACUGUGCAGAGAAGGGAAAAAGAGAAACAGAAAAAGAAACAGCUUGCUCAGCAAAAGCAAGAAAUAAUAGUUUUCAGGCUUUGGCUGGUAGGCCAGAGGACUGCAGGAAUCAGGAAUCCAAAAGAGGAGGCCUGGACGAAGGGUCUGUAAACAGUAAUUUUUAACCUGGCUGCACACUAGAAUUAACAAGGGGAACUUUUAGAAAAUACCCAUUUCUCAUUUCCACUCCCCAAAGAUUCUAAUUCCUUGGUGGGGAGGAGGGGGGGUGCUGAGCAACAACGGUUUCAUAAAGUCUCUCCAGAAAUUCUAAUUCUCAGCCGGGGAAAGAAUCUGUGGGAAGAAGGUGACCACGUCCUGGAAUGGAAUUUAUGGCAGAAGAUAAGACAGUAAGAACCCCAAAGAGUGGCCAGAGCAAAAAAGCUUGGAAAUGAGAGCUGGGGGCACCUGGGUGGCUCAGUCGGUUAAGUGUUCGGCUCUUGAUUUCAGCUCAGGUCAUGAUCUUGCAGUUCGGGAGUUCGAGUCCCACAUGGGGAUCCGUGGUGGCAACAUAAAGCCUGCUUGGGAUUCUCCCUCUCCCUCUUUCUUUGCCUCUCCCUCACUCAUGUUCUGUCUCUCUCAAAAAAACAAAAAACAAAAAACAAACAUUAAAAAAAUGAAAAGAAGAACUGGAUAAUAUUUAAUCUUAAAAUUAUUUGUUCUCCUAGGUGUUCUAUGCUGCCCCUGUGCUAAUACUCUAUCUUUGGUGAAAUGUACAUGCACAAUCUUGUACUGAUGAGGUUUUAGGGAAUGGGAAUGAGAGUCCAGUUCUGGUCAGAACCGGUACCAAAAAAGAGAAGCAACUCUGAGAGCUGAAACAAGAGUUCUGCAGAGAUCAAUCACAGAACAAGAGCUAAUUAGAAGACGGGAUGGUGUAGGAUACACUUCAGAAAUCUCUGGGAUUCGGGGUUUCCCACCAUAUGUGGCAUGGAAUCUUAGGACUCAUUAUUUAGAAAUAUUAUCCCAAACAGAGGGACGAGGUAGAGUUAACCUUUUAAUAGUAUCAAGAGUCAAUUUGAGUUUAAUAAGUGUUUAAUGUGCUCGUUAGAUGUUAGCAACCAUUUUGACUAGUCCUUGUUUGAAGCAUCUUGACUAAUCCUUGUUGGAAUCCAGAUCUCAUCCCUUUUAAUAGGUGUGCGACUUAGAAAUUUACUUAUUUUUUCUUGAGUAACAUGGGGAUAAGUGGUGCAGUUUUGAAGUGUAGGCAUGUCUGCGGGGCAAGCAUGUUUCGGAAAUUAAAAUUUAGGCCAUCACUUUUCCUUUUAGAAAUUUAUCUUGAGGGAAUAAGCAUACAGGUAUGCACAGGUAUUUGGAUGAUAUUUUUUAUGGCAACAAAUAAGAAAUAUUUUAAAUAUUCAACAAUAGGAAAUACGUUAAAUUAAAUGUAGGGCAACCAUAUAAUGAAAUGCUCUGUAUUUAUUAUGAAUGACUACACAUGUUUAUAUUUACUGACAAAAUGUCCGUAUUGUUUUCCAUAUUACAGUUAUGUGAAAAAAGUGUGUGAAAUAGUCCAGUUCUCUGUGUGUGUGUGUGUGUGUGUGUGCACAUGUCUGUAUGUAUGGGCAAGUUCCUAGAACAAUGUCUGGACGGAUACAUACAGACAUGGAAGUCUAAUCAUUUUGUCAGUUUUAUAUCAUCUUUCUUUUUAAAAUGUAAUAGGCUGUUUAAGGCAGCAGAACAACAAUCUUGCAACAAAACCAUUCACACACACUUGUAACACAAAGAUAGACAGUGUGUUUUUUGAGAAGGUGUGAUUGUUGGGGCGCCUGGGUGGCUCAGUCGGUUAAGCAUCCAACUUCGGCUCAAGUCAUGAUCUCACGGUUCAUGAGUUCGAGCCCCACGUCGGGCUCUGUGCUGACCACUCAGAGCCUGAAGCCUGUUUCGGAUUCUGUGUCUCCCUCUCUCUCUGACCCUCCCCGUUCAUGCUCUGUCUCUCUCUGUCUCAAAAAUAAAUAAACGUUUAAAAAAAUUAAAAAAAAAGAAAAUGUUUGCAGUGUCUAAAACUGACAACAGUUAUUGCAUAUAUAUUAUCUUUUGUUUCAUAAAUAAACUAUUAAAAAUCCUAAUUCGGGGUGCCUGGGUGGCUCAGUCGGUUAAGCAUCUGACUUCAGCUCAGGUCAUGAUCUCGCGGUCCGUGAAUUCAAGCCCUGCGUCGGGCUCUGUGCUGACAGCUCAGAGCCUGGAGUCUGUUUCGGAUUCUGUGUCUCCGUCUCUCUCUGGCCCUCCCCCCAUUCAUGCUCUGUCUCUCUCUGUCUCAAAAAUAAAUAAAUGUUAAAAAAAUUUUAAAAAAACUGAGAACAAACUGAGGGUUGAUGGGAGGUGGGAGGGAGUGGAGGGUGGGUGAUGGGUAUUGAGGAGGGCACCUGUUGGGAUGAGCACUGGGUGUUGUAUAGAAACCAAUUAGACAAUAAAUUUCAUGUAAAAAAAACAUAGAAGCAAUAAUGUUGACUUAGCUUAUGGGGUUUAAGGGUGUGCUAACAAACUAUAUUUCACCUAUAAAGUUUAAAUAAGUAGAUACUACUUAAGUAGUUCAAAUAGUGUUUGUUUGCAUUUCUUUUUGUCUGGAAAAAUCAUGUAAGAAUUUUAUUUUCACUGUACUGAAAGAGAGAUGGUAAAAUACCUUCCAAAACAUCCUAACAUUAUCCCAUAAAUAAUAUAUUGUCAUGUUGUAUCCCAAUGAUAGAAUUUUCCAGAGGCAUUAUAAGAGUUGCUGUCAUGAUCACAAUGCUCUCAGGCACUCAAUAAUUCACGAUCGCAGGUGCUGCAUACCCUGUAUGUGAGACCUGUGUGCUCUUUUUGGGACUGAGCUCCACAUGUACUCACUGAAGAACCAGCUUAAUAAGAGCAAACAAAGCCUCUCUGUGCUUGUCACGUGGUUCCCACAUACUCUGCAAAUGCAAGGGGGAGAGAGUUGGGAGACACGGUGUCUCUCUUAACUGCAUGCACGGUUAAGACUGAAGAGGCAUGAAACUCAGAGAAGGGAGCUCGCUGUUCCCCCAUCUUCAAGGGGUUCCCUUCCGAGGCCUGGAUCCCAAACGGAGGCUUUGCAAACACUGGCCACUUUUUUUUCAGAACAGCCUCUCUGGGCAGGAGGCCCACUGCCUGAUUAAUCCUGCAUUCCUCAAAACAGCAGGCAACCAGAAAAACAUUCCCUGUGGAAUUUGAGCUCACCUGCCCUCUGGGGGGUCAGAGAGCAGGUAGACUGAGGGCUGUGUAUGGGAGCAUUUGUCCUAAAGUGGAUGACACCCCGAUGUUGCCUUCUAGAAGUUAUCUUGCUUUGAAGUAAACAGUGAAAGCUGCCUAAGGUAAUUUAAAAGAUACCAGUUAAGGAUCUUCAGGUCUGCCUGCAAAUAAUUAUCACAUGAGAAUCUUUUUAAAAACACAGACUUUUAAAACUGCUGAUUUUCAUGGCCUUUGUAAAGCCUUCUUGAGUCAGAAUCCCCUGGGGUGGGGCCCAGAAAUAAUUACUUUAAUAAAAAAGUUCCACUGAUUCUGAUGUACAGUCAGGUUUGGAAAUCAUUUCUUAAGUCUGAGCUAAAUAAACAAAAAAUCAGUAGAAGAUUAACAAACCAAAGGGCAUAGAGGAAACUAAGAGGGGGCGUGAGGAAGAGAAUAGGAAAAAAAAAAUCACCGCUAAAAAAAUAGUGAUGGGAAAGAGUGAGAAACAUCAACAUUUGACAGAAGGUAGUAUUAAACACGGCAGCAAGCCGAGCCAACAGUGGUUUGCGCCGGUCUAGAAGGACGGACAUGGAGAACGAUGUCUCCUCAUCUGUAAGGACUGCAAUUACCCUUGCAUUCAUCAUUUGUACACUAAAGUCAAUAAAUUGUAAUAAGGCUUUGUCACCCAACAAAUGUCUCCUGCUUGGAAAAUCAGUGCUUCUGCCCUGCGCCCCCACUUAUGCUCCAGCAGGAGAGCUGAAGGUGAUCUUGAAACAAUGCUCUAUUCUCCUGAUAUUAUCAUUUAAUUGUAGCUCCCUCACACCCAACCUUCUGAGUUUUUAAUGAAAUAUUUCCUAAAAAUACAUGCCUUUAAUAGUAACAUGUGAAAUGGAAAAGGAGAAAUGUUUCAAAUCCAGAUGAGUAAACACACCAUCGUAGGUCAUGGGACCCCCCCCCAACCUCCCCACCAUGGGGGCUUGGGGGAAGUCAUCAUGUUGAUUCCUAUUGAACCAAAUCUAGUCAACACUUCAGUCUGAAAAUGGUGAGAAAUGGGAAAAAAAAUGGGUUUUUAAGAUAGAAAACAAAAACCAGAAGUGCUCUCAUGUUAAACAUCAAAAUGAGAAACAAUAUAAAUGAAGCUAAAAUUACUUUUAUAAAGAUGAUCAGGCAAUUCACAUAUAAGAAAUAAAAUGGACUAAUUCAACUUUCGAACAUCCAUUUGUGUUGAAAGUUUUGCUUUCUUUCACAUCAAAACUCUAUCUUUGGCUCUAGUGUUGUCCUUGCAAAGAAAUCUGUAUUCAUUUCUUCCUUAAAAUCAAGACCAUCCACCUUUGAGUUUCAUUCAUGGUCUCUAGGACAAGAUAAUAAUGUAGACUAUCCUCGUUAGUAAAACAGGCAAAAUAAUAAUAUCUCCUAUGUGAGAACUGAGUGAAGUAAUGUGUAAAGCAUUUGGAAAAAUAUCUGGCUUUUUGUAAACACUAUGCAAGUGUUUAUAUAUUAUGAAAGUAAGAUUCUUCUAUGGCUUUUUAAGCUCCAUGAACAAUUUUUCCCUCCAUGUUUCCAUAUUUCUUCCGUUGAUUGCCUUCUAGCAAUGCAUCUUAGGUGGCAUAAUAGCUUAUAUAGUAAUAGUUGGCCCAGUGGUGUGUCCGGGGUUGUUCCAGAGAUCAGCAGUCUCUUAUUCCUAAAGUCCCCUGGUGCAUUUAUGACAAAAAGUAUUAAGUAGAAAUCUCGUCAACCUUCAGAACAUUAAAGAUAACAAUGGAAAGUCAAAGGGGAAAAUGAGUUGAGAGGGACCCAAAGGAAACGUGUCCCUACUGAAAGAAUGGCUCCCCUCAGACAAGGUGGAAAGCAUCACAGAAGGGGGAGAAGGUGAGGGGCUUCUCAUUCACAUCAGCCAAAUCAACCCCAUUGCAGGAGAGGGACAGAUACUGCCACGAAACUGCUCUCUGAGCUGUGGGACUCUUUUUAGGCUUCCUCCAUCCUUUAUAUGUGUUUUUGUCUCCUUUACUGUUCUCUACAGACUUCCCUUAAUAUCACCCGUUUGGUAAUAUUACUUUACUAUCUAUAGCACCUGUAGAUUUCUAUUAAAAAAAUUUUUUUUUUACAUUUAUUUAUUUUUGAGAGACAGAGAGAGACAGAGCACAAGGGGGGGGGGAGGGGCAGAGAGAGAAGGAGACACAGCAUCAGAAGCAGGCUCCAGGCUCUGAGAUGUCAGCACAGGGCCCCACGCGGGGCUUGAACUCAACGAACAGUGAUAUCAUGACCUGAGCCAAAGUGGGGCGCUCAACCGACUGAGCCACCCAGGCAUCCCUGAUUUCUUUUUUUUUUUUUUAAUGUUUAUUUAUUUGAGAGAGAGAGAGCAGGGGAGGGGAAUAGAGAGAGGGAGACACAGGCUCCAAAGCAGGCUCCAGGCUCCAGAGCAGUCAGCACAGAGACCCACUUGGGGCUCAAACUCACGAAUCAUGAGAUCGUGACCCGAGAUGCUUAACCAACAGAGACACCCAGAUUUCCCGAUUUCUCUCUUAAACUGUUGCUAUAUGGUCUGACCCCUGGCCUCUGUCCUGUCAUAAUUAAUUGACCUUACUGUUUUGUGGCACCAGAAACACUGGAUGCAGUAUGUUUAGUGAAACUGUGGUCAGAACAUUGAUAAUUAUGUGCCUCCAAUAUAAUGAACACCACGCCUCCUGAUGACACCAGUUGUUUCCAAGUGAUGUGUGCCUUGAUUUUUAAUGUUUUAUCUUUAAAAAAACUUAAUUAUUGGGGCUCGUGGAUGGCUCAGUCAGUUGAGCGUCCGACUUCGGCUCAGGUCACGAUCUCGCGGUUCGUGGGUUCAAGCCCGCAUGGGGCUCUGUGCGGACAUCUCAAAGCCUGGAGCCUGCUUCAGAUUCUGUGCCUCCCUCUCUGUCCCAACCCACUCGCAUUCUGUCUCUGUCUCUCUCAAAAAUAAAUAAACAUUAAAAUUUUUUUUAAUAAAAAAAUUUAAAAAACUAAGUAUUAUUGCCCCCAAAUAAGCUUAAAAAACAAAAGUUUUUGAAAUAGAAUAUUAAAUAUUAGGAUUGGAAAAAAACCUUAAAGAUUAUCUAGUCCAACUGCCAUUUGAUUUUUAAAAUCUUAUCUAUAAUUUCCACAUAAUACGUGAAUUUAAUUAAUCCAGGGUUUCAAUUCCUCCAAUCAUGGGGGACUUAGAACUUACUGAAACAGUUCGUUCUGACUAUUAAAAGUUACAUUAGAAAUGUCUUUCUAAUUCAGAGCUGGAAUGUCUCCUGGUAUUUCUAAAUUACAAAGACACUGGGUAUGUAUGUACAGGUUGUGCACUAUACAAGGGUGCUGCUUGAUAGGACAUUGUUCUGAUCCAACUGUUGUGGGUUUGUCUCUUUACUAAAGUAAUUUGGCCAAUGUAACAAUAUAAAUUAAGAAAGAAAUGCCAUUUAAAAAUUAUUGCAAGGAUACAAUUUGAGCUAACAGCAGUCCUGCUUUAUCAUUUGUAGUCAAAUUGAUAAAAGCCCAUCCCUCCUCUCAUGGUGACCCUUCGCAUAUUUUAUUUUGAUUAGUAGAGUUCCAAGAGCCUGUGGACUCUGUCUCUGAGAGGGACUCAGGUUUUCCGUGUCUAAAGCUCAAGCUACUCGCCGGCCAAUAUAAAAAUAAAGGUAACAAUUGUCAAAGCAUCUACCUACUUAGGACAACAGUGUAAUAUUUUCUUUUCUCCAUCCUUACUGUGAAGUUGCACUGGGAUUGUAAUAUGUCACAAUAUUUUUGAAGAAUUGGAUUAUCAAUAAUACAUUUUAAAUAUAGUAACCUCUUACGAAAUUUCUAAUAUUAUCCAGGUAAAACAUAAAAGCACUUCUUAGAACAUUCCCAUGUUGUCACCUACAGUAUCAUGGAGGUUUCCGUUGUCUGUUAAGAAGAAAUUCAAAAUAGUGCCUUCUGAAAGAUGCUCUUAUCCAAUGUGUGCAUAUCAGUAACAAUUUAAUGUUUAGAUAAACUUAGAUAAACUCAUAUUGUUAAAAAAAGCUGUUAUGAUAUUAAAAUAGAACCUCUCUAUAUCUUGCUUGUGAAUCUCACCCAUCUGGCUUUAAAGACACAAUGAAUAUAGUUGAUCAAUAAAAUUUUAUCUAACAUUUAUAGCAUAAGGGAAGGAGGAUGGGUUAGAAAGUAUGGUCACUAACAAAUAUUUUACUGCACUGUGCCCACCUGUCUUUGGCUAAACCAUUUCCAAGUCUUAUAUUUUCUCUCUAGUAAUCUGUGUCUGACUUUUUUUUUUUUCUAGAAGAGGGCUUACAACUUGUAAAAUCUUUAUGUGUUUAUUAAACAAGAAAAAAUGAUGCAAUUUUUAUUGCAAGAGUUAACUUAGUUCCACAGCAUUGUGAACAUAGCACAUAACUAAAAGUGCAAGUUCACCUCCUUGCCAGGUCAUCCAUCCAAUUUGCCAGAGCCAGUCACAUUGUUUUGUUGAUCUUUUUUUUUUUUUUACAUUUAUUUAUUUAUUUAUUUAUUUAUUUAUUUUUGAGAGACAGAGAGAGACAGCACAAGCGGGGGAGGGACAGAGAAAGGGGGAGACACAGAAUCCGAAGCAGGCUCCAGGCUCUGAGCUGUCAGCACAGAGCCCGACACGGGCUCGAACUCGCAAACUGGGAGAUCAUGACCUGAACCGAAGUCAGACGCUCAACCGACUGAGCCACCCAGGUGUCCCCGUUUAUCUUUAAGUCAUUUUUUUGUACCUAUGUAAGAUCUAUAUUUAAGACUCACUAACAUUUAAAAAAAUUGAAUUCAUUCAGUCAUUCAACAAAAAUAGAAUCUACUCUUUCUAGGCAGUGUUUAUUCUUAUACUUGGGAAUAGACGGAUACUAAAGCAGAGAAGAAAAUAUCAGAUAGUUAUAUAAGGCCAAUAAAGUAAAUAAAAGAGGGCAGUGUGAUGCUGAUGGAUGGGAUGGUAUUUCCUCAGACUGGUGUGUAGGGAAGGCCUCUCUGACCAGCGGCAUGGGGACAGAGUAUUCCAGGACAAUGAAAUAGCCCAUUCAAAUGAGCUUAGGCAAACACACAUUUAGCAAUGACAAGGAACAAAAUCAAGGCCUCGAGUGGACGCAUCAGAGUGAUGAAAGAGAAAAUGGAAGGAAAAAUAAUGUCAGAGAAGUAGUAUCAACAGGGACUUCUAGGUAGGGUGGGGAUCCUGGAUUCUAUUUUUAAGUGUGAUGUGAAGGCAUUGGAGGGUGUUAAGAAGGGAGAUCACAUGAUCUUAUUUUCACAAUUUUUAUUGAAGUGUAACUGACAUACACUGUCCUAUUAGUUUCAGGUGUACAUCAUAGUGAUUUGAUGUUUUUAUACGCUACGAAAUGAUCCCCCAGUAAGUCGAGUUACCAUCAGUCACCAAAGUUAUUACAAUAUUAUUGAAUAUUGAAUAUUGAAUAUUGAAAUGUAUUCCUUGAGCUGUUAUGUUGCAUCUGCAUGACUUACUGGUUUUAUAACUGGAAGUUUAAAAUGAUCACUCUGGCCACGAUGUGGAGAGUGGAUUGUAGAUGGAAGUAGAAGUCCAUUGGGAUUUACCGUGGUAGCAAAAUGGCGGUGGUGCUUGGACUGUGAACAGCGGAUAGGUAAGAGUACAGGAAGGGAGAUGUGACAUGAGGGGGAGAUGGGCUUCUGGACAGUUGUUCAGAUAGAAUCAGACAGAACUGGUAUAUGUUUUAUGGUAAGAGCACUGGGGUAUGGGUGAGAUGAGGGAAAGAGUAGAAUAUUUUAAGGAUAAAUCUUAGGAUGGUGGCUUGGGCAAAUAAGAAAUGGUGCAUUUUAUUGAGAUCAAAGAUUAGGAAAGAGGCACAUUUAGCCAUGUUAAAUUGAAGCCGCCUCUUAGAAACGCAAGUGAAAAUUCAAGUUUGUGGUUGGAUAUAACAACUGGAGGUUAGGGAAAUUCAGAGAGUAUGGGUUAGAGGCAUAACUUAGUCAACACCAUUAUCUGUACUUAAAACCAAGGGUGUGGCUAAGGAAUCCUACCAUAUAUUUUAGUUUUAUUUCAGUCUCUUAAUUUUUGCUUUAUAUUUUGUAAUUUCUUUCCUCUUCAUCUCUUCUUAUUUGCUGGUUUUGGGGGAAGUUGAAUCAAGAAUUUAUUCUUGACGUUUCUGUCGUUUUGACAUAUUUUCAUCUAUAAAUAAGGCAUAUAUGUGGUAAAAGAAGUGUGUUUCUAGAAGUACAAAUGUACGUAGAGGGAAAGGCAAGCCCCUUUGCCUAACUCUUCCCGCUUGACCCUCACUUCCUCUCAGGAGAAGCAAUACAGUCUCCAGCUGUUUUACACAAAUGGGAGUUGAUUAAAAAUAUUCUAUUAUACCUUGUUUAUUCACUGGAAAGUAGCUGUUGACAAAAUUUCUGCUUGGUGUUCUACUAUAUGGUGUAUCAUGAUUUACUUAACUGCUCUACUGAAGAGCAUUUAGGUUCCUUUUUAUUCUUUUGCUCUUCUCCCUUAUUUCCUGCAUGUUACUCAUUUUUCUGCUUCUUUACUGUCUGUUUACCUCUAGCUACUACUCCAUUUUUGGGUUCCAUUAUAUAGCAAAUUCCUUAGGUGUGUUAAUCACGAUCACUAAAAUCCUUUUCAUUUUCUCUGUCUUAUUACAGGCAACAUCUUCGUUGUUCAUUUCUGGAACGAUGGCAUCGCUACCUUGAAUUCUUUCCUGAUCUCUGCCUCUUCAGUUGCCUUUCGCUUGCUGUGUUCCUUUUCUCCGGUUUGCUUUACGUCAAUGCUGACAACUCCCUUUUAUAAUCCUUCGUGAACUUUCUCUGUGUGUGACCGGCGGCUGUAGAGUUCUGGUCUGCUCUUUGUACAAGUGAAGAUGGCAAGAGGCAGUCCGAACUCUCCAGCUGGGAAUGUCUUCUCAGAACAUUUCCCAAACAGAGAUGUUGUUUCCUGUCCUGGAGACACACAUUCCCGAGUCACUCCUCCAGAGGGAGCCUAUGCCACAGACGCCAGCGUAGCUCUUUUCUAACAUGUCUCACCUGGAUUUCUCAGGGCAACUUAGUGUUUACGUCUGCUCCAAUUUUGCUAGCAGAUGCAAGGUGAUGUCUGCUUUCCCUUUCUAUCCUGCCUCAUUUGCCAUUUACUUCUCCCAUGAGGAGUGUCUCCAAUGGGACAUGGUUGACGUCACUUCUUUCUCACCUUUCCUGAAGCUCGGUGCCAUGGAACCAAAUUCCCACGUUACUCUUCUCCUGGUCAGCCUCACCCCCAGCCCUCAUCAUCCGGAGAAAUGAAUCACAGGUCCCUCGGGAUCAUAUCAUUAUUUUUCAGAGCAAUACAGCUCUCUGCUUGAGAAGUAGCGAUAUGUUUUACACUGUUGGAGGCUUUCUUGAAUCAAGACAGAUUUGGGCAGAUAAUAUUCUUACCUUAGCUUUUUCCUACUUUGUUAUUAAAGGGAUUUUCAAAGUUACUUUUGUUUCUUAUGUCAAUAUAAGUUAUUUUCACAGAAGAGAGAAAACAAAAGCUUAUAUUUUUCUUCAGACUUCUGCUGGUGGUCCAGUAACCCACUAAUUAUUCACGGUAUUCUUUCUCAGCAGAUUAGCUCAUCUGCUAUGCAGAGGAAACUGAUUUUAAUUUCCCUCUCUCCUACCUACGUUAAGUAUCAGCGCUUGUUUCUUCCUCUACAGAAUCUGUGCUAACGUUUUGUAUGUAUCACUUUAUUUUGUCGUUACCCAUUGUGGAGCUGAGCUUAUUCUAACUGAGGCACAGAUCAGGGAACGGAGGCUCCAAUAAAUGAAGUAUCCAGAAGUUACACCAACAGUUAGUGGUGGAACAGUAAAUUGAGCCCAGAUUUGAUUCCUCACCAUUAUGCUCCAAGAACCAUAAAGACCAUAUAAAUAAAAUUAUUAGAUCUGGGGGCACCUGGGUGCCUCAGUCCAUUAAGCACCCAACUCUUGACUUCUGCUCAGGUCAUGAUCUCACGGUUUAUGAGUUUGAGUCCUGAACUGGGCUCUGUGCUGACAGUGCAGAGCCUGCAUGGGAUCCUCUGUCUCUCCUCUCUCUCUCCCUGCCCCACUCUCCCUCCCUUUCUCAAAUAAACUAAAAAAAUUAUUAGAUUUCCCUGACGUUUUAAAAUUCAAUUGAUUAUUGUACAGACCACUUACUGGGACCUAUCAUUGGAAGGUAUUUCAAACUUAUACACUAAAUAUGCAUGGUUUCUAUCAUGCGAUCAUACCUCUAUAAAGCGGCUUAAAAAUUAUGCCAUGGUUGGGGGUGGGAAACAGAGAUUACCAUGUCAUGUAUGGAGCAAUAUCUGAAUUGUGAAAAUCAGCACGGCAUCAUGGACAUAAUAAGAAUUUGGGAUUAGAUACAUAGGAGCUUGAAUUCCACAUUUGCCAUAAUUAGUUGUUUGGGAAAAAUGCUUUGCUUCUCUGAGCUCUUUGUAAAUUCUGAUUGUAAAGGUAAAAUUUAAAAACUUACAAGAUCAAUAAGAGAAUUAAGUUGUGUAAGGUGAGGAAAGUAUGUGCACAAAGUAGACAUUCACCUAAUUUCCAUUUCUUUCCUAAAUACUCAUAUUGCAUCUUUUGCCAUCCAAGCUAAUGGUUUUUUUUGGUUGUUGUUGUUUUAAUCUCUGACACCCAAUAAGCUGAUAUAACACUUGGGAUUUUACUGCCAUUAAAUAUAAUAGGGGAUUUUAAAAGACUAAGAAAAUAUGAUACAAGAAACGUUUUAGUCUCCAGGAAGUGCACCGAGGACUGUGCAUUGUGCAAAGAGCUUCUGAAAACCUUCUGAUAAAAUUGUAACAAUAAAGCAACUCUGUAGGCACACGUUCAAAUACUAAUAUAUUCCACAUAAAUAUAUAUUAAUUUAGCUAAUAAUGCAACCAAAAUGUCCAAUAAGAGAUUUCUGAAAGCAGAAGAGAAAAAGAAGAUAGCAUUAGGAAUACUUUUUCAAGAAAAUAGGAAAUUUGCUUAGAGCAUUUCAAAGGGCAAAUCUGAGAACCCUUAUCAAGGAAAGCUACUUCACUGCUUGAGGAUUUGUUAUAAGCCCAGUCAAGGAGAAAUGAAAGGAAAUGUUAAUACAUAUGGUCUUGAAAGAAAAUCUGUGAGAUAAAGCACAUUUCAAUUUUUCAUUCAGUAUUUAACUGAAAGCUAUGUCAUAUUCAUAACCUUAACAUGAUGGAAAUAAAAGAGUGUCUCAGCUAGCCUGGAAUUCUGCCAUUUAUGGUUUUGCAUUUUUAUGUAGCAGAGAGUGACAGCAUUUAGUCUGCCGGGGGGGGGGUCCCAAUUCUCUUAGCGCCAAUCCCUCAUGGACAUUGGAGGAAAUGCUCCACUGGAUAUACCAGUCAGCUCACACUACUUCUGUACUCGCAAGUCCCCGGUGCACAGGAUAGCAGAUAGAAGUUGCCUUAACACAAAGAAAGCCCACUGAAGACAUUCUUCAUUAAGGGAAAAUUCGUUUUAGCAUUUCCAUGGUUCAUGUUAAACAUCCCCCAAUCCACAAACAUGUCUCUUGCUGGAGACCUUCUGUGGGUCUCACGACAUUUGCUACUAGAUUCUGUCUUGGCAUCUCAGAUCCUUUCAAUUACAGCUUCUGAAGGACCUUGAGUAAUGCUUUAAUGUGAUGAGGUAUAGGUUAUGUCAAUGUGAUAAAAAUCAGAAGCCCACACGGUGUCCUCUUUCUCCCUCUCCCUGGCAGAGAACGUGAAAGCCAAGGUAGUAUAUUCCUUCCCGGAAAAAUAAUAUGCUGCACAGACUAAGGUAACUGCUCAGAUUUCUAAAAUAGCACCCCUAUACUCAUGAUGAAUGAAUUAGCUUGGGUUUUCCAUAUUUUAGUUUAUUGUAACUUGAAUAAGUUUUAUUUUGACCUGUCACUAUAAAACAGUGAGCAAGCACAUGAUGGGGAAUUUACCUAAUACAACUGCAGUCUCCCGAUGACAUUGGGAAAUAUAUAGCCAUUGAAAUGCCAAAAGUAUUUGUAAUUGCCUAUUAGACCACUGUGUUCUUGCUUAUAGAGUGGCUCACUGUGGGGGUGGGGCUCUCUCUGGUGCUUGAAAUUUGGGAGGAUAGUCCAUUCUACCACCUCCCAUCAGAACCCAGGCAUCUGAAUUCCACUUGCUGGAUAUUGUCUGGAUUAGAUGCUGUACUGUCAACAUUUGUAUGUUCAAUGUCAAUUACAGCAUUGACAUGGCAUUGAGAUUCUGUUGCGGCCCCGACUAGCUGGUGCCCCUAUUGGCUGACACUUUGAAUAUAUAGUGUAGUGACUUCUGCAUUAAUUGUAUGCUUUGGGCAAGUUAUUUCAACUUUCUGUGCCUCAGUAACCCCUUUUUUCAUACUGUUUUAACAUAUUGUUUUACAUUGCUUUUCACAGGGCUGGUCACAUACUAAGAAAGCUUAUACACAUAGGUAUUUUAAUUAUAUAUACCAUCUAUAAUGUUUAUAAAAAAUUGAUAGCUUUCAAUACACACACACACACACACACUAUGAAAUUCAGUUAAGAAAGUUAUUUAAGAACGCAUAAACAUGUGGCCAAAACCAAUUUUUUAAAUACAGCACCAUAGUUAUUUUUACAGUCUUACAAAUAUGUGCCCUUUAGGUUAGUGUUCAAAAGGCCACAUUGAUCCUGUGCCUUCUAACCACGUGAGGGAAAAGUGACACUAAAUCACAUGGUGUGAUGUCUGGGGAUCUGGGUGGCUCUUGUGCUCAAGGCAUGUUAAUGUAUUUAAUGUUACAAACAGCGUCCUGCACAGUAUAGCAGUGUGGAAGACAUUCGCGAAGGAACCCCAGACCCUGUGAUGUGGAUGAGGUGGUCUCUUCCUACCAGAAAAUAGACCUGUCAGAGACUUCCUCUAUCAUUCCACCACUAGCUCUAAAUGUAUUACCAUUGUCACUGUGUCCUCUAAAAUUAAGAAAAAAAAAAUGGAACAAUGAUUUACUUGCAAGAAAGACAUUAACUUUCUGUAAAUCCCUUAUGUGUUCUGUAGUCACAGAACCCAAUUUAAUAAAGUCCAACACAAUAACAGAGAAAAUUAGAAUUCGAAGAGUAAUUCUAUAGUUUGGUGCCUACUGCAUGCCCACAUAGAAGAUUCAUUCUGAAUAAUACAUGUUGAAAGUUAAUUUAUAAAUAUAUAAUGAAUAACCAUUCCAUUCAGAAUAGGUACCUGUUGUUCAAGUAGUAAAUUUUUGACACUUUCACUUUGUUUCUGAAAAACCAAUAGGAAGAAAGAGAAUCCAUAUAACCUGGUGAAGGUUCUGGGUCAAAUUCUGAGUUCUGGGUCUCACCCUUGAUAGUUGGGCAGGAAUUGGGAAGAAGGCCUAUCUAUGUUGGCAAACAGGACAACAGGUGACUAGAUUUCCAUAGGGGUCACAAAUGAAUACGGCAUUGUGUUGCUAUGUGCAAACAAGGGUGGUCAUGUAUGAGGGAAGACAGUUUGGAUAAAAAUAAGACAGAGAAAACUGAACUGGGAAGUUUGAAGAUUCAAAGGUCACUUGGCCACUUAGAAGUAGGGCCAGGGGUUUGAGAAUGAGCACUCAAAAGAAAACCAUAAUCGGGAAAUUGUAUAUUUUCCUUCAUGUCUCAUACAAUCCACUUAAAAUUCAAUGAAAAUGUAGCAAAGAGCAGCCAUGGACUUUACUACUGGUUCAGAAAGAACUGUCUCUUCCUUCACUCUUCAGCACUGUUUGAAGACGACAAAAUAACAUUGAAACCCUCUUUCUAUUUUCAUACCCAAUCACAAACCCUACAUCACCCCUUUCUUCUCCCCACAUCAAUUAGCUUAUAUUUUUUACUAUCUGCAGUCGUCCCCAGUUUCCUAUUUACAAUGUACAUUUUCGUAUUAUUCAUUUUGCACUUUAUUAGCUAAAAUGAGCCUAGGUGGGGCUUCGAUCUUGCCCUAAGAGUUCUGUGGUUAGGACCAUCUUAUCCCUUUUCUUUCUUUGGCAUUCCUCAGCCCAGUGCUUUCAGCUCCAGCUGUUUCUUAUCAUAUCCCUGAAGCCAAUUUGCUGGCAUUGUCUGAGCUGUAAAACAAUCCUCCAGAUGCUUGUGAAAAUGUACUUAUUGCUUGCUUUGCUCACCCACAGCAAUGUUCAUAAUUCUAUGUAAGUUGCAGUCAGAAUUUCAGUCUCGGUUGUUUUCAAACCAUGUGUCACCAUUUCAAGAACUGCCUCACAUGCUGCUUUUGAGACGCUUUUGUUCUUAAUUUUGUUAGAAUUGAGUUUUGCUUUCAAGAAUUUCUGGUAUGCUGCUUCAUUUCCCUCUUAGUUCACAUAAGCUGCCAUUGGUUGCAGAGGGCGUUAUAAUUAUAUUAAGUAUUCAGUGUUCGUGGGUAAUGAAUACUACCGGUGUAUGUGGCAGCUUCAGCAGUUGUGGACUCUUUUCUACCUUCUGUUCCACAGGGUGGGACUCUCGGACCAGUUCAGGCUAAGGGAUUUCCAUUAGUCAUCCCAAUACUUCAUUCCUCAUCUAUCCCUUUUCAUGGGUGGCUAAAUAAUUCUCUUUUCAGCCAUGGUUUAAACAGGCUUAAAUGGGGUUUACCACAUCACAUUUAAGCUCUAUCUUGUCUAAACCACGAUAUCAUCAGACUUUGAUAAAGACUUAAAACAUUGAUUAUUUCUAGGGCACCUGGGUGGUUCAGUCAGUUAAGUGUCUGAUUGAUUUCAGCUCAGGUCAUGAUCUCACAUUUCGUGAGCUCAAACCCCGUGUCCAGGCUCUGUGCUCACUGCUCGGAGCCUGCUUGAGAUUCUCUCUCUCUCCCUCUGCCGCUCUCUUCUGCUCAUGCUGGUUCUCUCUCUCUAAAAUAAUAGAAAGUUAAAAUAGAAAAAAAAAAAACAUUGAUUAUGUCUGCUGAUCUUUCUGAUUAGAAAGCCUGUCCCAAAAUUGAGAAGUCAACAUAAGAAAAAGACAGUCUCUCCGAGCUUCCUCCCACCCAUCCUUCCUGAUACUGGGAUUAUAUUUUAUAUAAAUCUUAGGGUUGCCGUAUUAUAACAGUAAGUACUCAUCCUAUGAGGACCCAGAGGUUUGAAUACACCAAGAGAGGGAGGUCAAUUCUGAUAUCAAGUUAUCCCAGAAAAUCAGGAAACCAAUGGAGAAACGUAAGCUAAGAGACUAUUACUUUCAUGCCCUGGACUUGAACAUGGUGAAGGCUAACUGGGGGUCCUAUCUAGUGGAAGCCAGAGCUUGGCAGGAGGAAGCCAUGGGGUAAACGAUAGACUGGAAAUAGAACAAAGUACACAAUGCAAAGCAGAUAUUCUAGCAGAUAUUUUGCCUUGGCUAUUCUUCAUCUUUCAGCAAAUUCUUCAAAUGACCCCUUUACCCCAACAAAAUGCUUUGAUUUUAAGCCUCAUGUAUGCCUAAGCUUGGACUGACAUGUUUAAAUAAAAGAACAAGCCCAAGAGGUCCAUGAGACAGAGUUUGUAGGAACCAGUGAGCAUUCACCAGGAGACAGUGAAUGUUCAGAGAGAAAUUGGGGUUGUGUGGCCUAGCUGUCACUCUCUAAAUGGCAAUUCCACUUCUAAUGUGCAUUCUAAAAGUUCUGGGACUCAUUUUUACUAAGAAAAGAACUGUAACUUGUAGAAAGACAAAAAUGUUUUUUUAAUGAAAAGGAGAACAGGUUAGAGAGAGAGAGAGAGAGAAAAUGGGUUGCAGCAGGAUGAAUAUGCAGCAGCCAUAUGAAUUUCCAGGAUAUUCUUAGAAGACCAAGCCCUUGUUGCCUUUAACAUGCAUUCCCCAGCACCAAGAAAAUGCUCAUGAAUGUCUGAUGACCUGCUUCUGAAAAUUUUUUACUGUCUCUUUGGCUGACCCUUGCUCUUCCAUUUGCUUUGCAGUACCUUUCUUCGAAUAGAACCUUCCUCUGGAAACCAGCACCUGAUGGGAGAACAGUGGAGUCUGACCCUAACAGUCAAUUCUCCAAGAUGUAAGGACGUAUUUCUAGUUUGUGGCUUUGCCUCCAAUGAUCCGGUCAGUUAGAGGCAACCCUCCUGGGAAGUAUCUUUCCAAUGAGGACUGCUAUAAACAUUCCUAGAGCACUCUGCUUGCCAGAAUAUUUAGGCAAAUCUGAAAAAAUAAAGAUCAAUAAAUAAAAAAAUCAAAACAAGCUUGUUGUUUGGUGACAUACACAAAUAUGUUUUUUUCACAUCUUUGGUAUAG